GCUCCUUGUGUGCAUCCAUGUAUGUCAAAUAUGUCUGGUUACCUCAGAAAUCAGUCUUUUUGGAAACUUGAUCUGCAGUGUGAUAUCAAGGGAGUAUGAGACAGAGAAAGUUAAUAAUACUUUUCUCGGAACUAGCAGGGAUUUGUGACACACUUUCCCCAGGAUGUAAAGUUUUAGUUAUUCCAGUGGAGUCUGUGCUAUGGACAUCACAAUUAUAAUCAUGUGGAUCAUAUGUGGCCUCUGAGAAAGCAUAAUUAAAUAUUUGUUUUCAAGAUUCUACAAAAUAUGCUAUGCUCUGUCUGUGUAAAAAUCUUUAUAAUGCUAUUAAGACUAUCAAGAAAAUUAUAAUUUUCUGUUCAUAAUUCCUAUUAGUUUUAUUGGUGUUGAGACCAGCAUCAUUUGGUAGGUUACUGACCUUUGUAGGUAUAUAUUUAAAAUAUCCUUAGCUGCUAUUCUUCAGUGCAUAAAUAUUGCACAUAGAGUGCCAGAGUUUAUCACAGGAAUUGCUUUCUUAGUGCUUUGACCUCAGUCAUGUACAAUGAAAUCAAACUUUGCUUUUGCUUUCAUUUCUCAUGCAAUAAUUUAUUUUUAAACUACAAUUCAGCUUUCUGGAUGGGUGAUAAAUUUUCCAGUAAGGUUUCUUAUACACAGGUGCAAUAGAAGUAUGUUAUGUUACUUCUGCUUUCCGAGUGGUUUUGUUCUGACCAUACUGACAUCCCUCAGUAUUCUAUUUCACUUCUGGUUGUGACUAUAUCUUAGAAAUAUCUGUUUUGUUAUGUUGUUAUCAGUAAUAGCAAUUAUGAGCAGCAUGUAACUGUAAUUUUUGUAAUUAAUGCAUAUGGCUAUAAGCAGGGCAGAAGAUGGAGUCAGGUGUUGGAUAGCUGCCCUCCUGUACCCUCUAACCUCUAAGUGGACAUGUUCCUAAAUGCUAUACUCUAAAUAAUUUAAAUCUUGUACUUUGUAUUACUUUGGUACCUCCACAGUGAUUUCAGUGGCUUUGAAAUAAUAAUGACCUAUGUAUUAUUUUAGGCUCUCUCAUUUUAUUUUUGUUUUAAUUUAUUUGGUUUUGAGUGGAACUCUCUCCCAAGUCCCAGGACAAGACAUAGGCUUUGGUGAUGCCUCCAAAUCAAAAUGUCACGUUUGCCCUAACGUUGGCUUUUGAGUUGUAAAAAAGUUACAUUUUAUUAUUUAUUCAUGCAGAACUUGUAAGCACAUCUGUUCAAAUAGAGGAAUUUUUUUUUUGACUGGCAUACUGUACAGCUUUUCACUUACCCGUAGUGGUAGCAGAUGGAGGGAAGGGCUUUGGUGAUGAGCAGCAGCUGUGGCAUUGCAGGUGGUGGCUCUGCACAGCUGCAGUGUGAUGGUGGCACCCUGGGAGUUCCUUGGUGGAGCCUCUUAGGUGGAACUCCCAAACCCUUCUUCAUUGUCAGGUCUGACAAUGAGGGCGCCGAUGGUUUUGCAGUACCCCUCUGUGCUGGUGGCAGUCUUGCAGUAAUGAAGUAUCAUGCUGGCACCUUCUCCUCAAAAGCCCUUUGGACCCUAUAAAUGGUUACUUGCUUGACCCGGCAUCUGCAAACUUUCUGGUCUUCUCCUAAGUCACAUAUGUCCCCUCCAGUCUUGCUGUAGAUCAUGAAGACAGGCCUGCCUGGUCAGCUAGUGAGUUGUCCCCCUAGCCUCCAGCAACAUGAAGUUUGUUCUGACCAAACCAAACAAAAUGUGUCUCUGAAAAACCUUCAGCAAAAGGUUCCCCACUGCUUUCCUGAGAAUUGCAGUUGGUGCAUUUCAUGAUCCUGUCUCUGGAACAUCAUGCAAGUUGGCAGCAAUUUUCUUACUUUUCAGUGGACUUGAGAAAGAUAGUCAUCUUCCUCCUCCAGUCAGGCUUUUACAGCUGUGAGGGCUGUUACCACCCAUCCAUGGGUGUUAAAAAACCUCCAGCAAACAAAACCCCCCAAUUUCGUUCAUAUGAAUUAUGUUUCCUUAAAUCUGUUGGACUUGUUCAUUUUCUCUGACUGCUUCUAAAAUAUGGUCUCAAGGAGUAAGCCUACUCCUUGAGAUCUCCCAAGUGCUGAGGGAAGAGGGGUAAUUACAUAAACAGUCUUAUUAUUAAGUCUUUCAAGAACUGUAUUUGCUGGUUUUGCAACAAUAUUGGAAAUGAGUUUGUAGAGGAAAUACUGGAUACAUUGCUAAGAGCAUUUGGAAAUGUUUAAAUGUUUGCUUACCUUGUGGCAGACAAAGCAGUUCAUGAUUUGUUGCAUUUGGGGAUAUUGACAGGGACUGUACUGUUUAAUUGCAAUAUGGACUGUUUGAAAAGUGCUGUUAAAUAAAGGGACUUCAGUUUUAAGUAAAAAAACCCCAAACAAAUCCCAGUGAAAAAAGAUCCUAAUGGUGAAACAAAGAGAAAAAGAAGAUCAAAGCCAAACAGAAAAAAAUAAUACAACCAUAUUCUGUAUUCAAAUUAUAUUUACCAUGUUCUGGCUAUUAAACAGACUACCACAUGGUAGAAAUCAGUGCCAGUUGGUAAUAGGAAACAAGAUUAUUAUGGACAUGUCAAUUGUGUUGGCUUAUUCCAGCUUUGAAAAAAUGUUUUUAGAAUACUUGCUGAAGUGAGGUCCCCAGGCCUUAGAGGGAUGACAUGUUGAAUUAAGAAAUGUGUGCAUGCUUUUGCUCAAUGAUUUUAAUGGGGAUCCCUACCAGACUGCACCAAUGUAUGCUCCUGAAAUGUCCCAGCUGAGCAGGCUGCCUUUCAACACAGAAGUACAUACAUUCAUUGCUCUCUCAUUAGUAACAAAAUAGCAAUACAGCUCAAUAAGAAGAAAAUUAGUAUUAAAAAUAAAAAUAACUUGAGGAAUGUUAAACCAGGUAUUUCUUUCUGGUCAGUGUUACAUAUAAGCUCUGUUCUUGCAUUUCUUGCUUGUGUGCAGUUCUUAAAUGGGAAAGAAACUGUUGAAAGGAGCCACUUAUUAGUUUGUGCUGGUUAACAUCCAAGCAGGGUAUUCUGUUUCUCCCUGGAACUGCCCUUGUCUUUACCUGCAGCACUUUGUCACUACAAGCAUUAUGCCUUCCCCUCUGCUGUUUGUUCAAAGAUCCCUUUGUCAUGCUGUGUUCAAACCUUCUAUUUUCCUGUGAUGGAAAAAAAUAUUAAUCUCAUUUCAGAGUUAUACACAGACUGUCCCCAAACAAUGUCUAAAUAAAUUAAUUUUCAUAUGAAAGUUCUGCUUUAGUUUAUUUAAGCAGUAUGUGCCAUGUUAGUGGUACCCCAUAUUUCCCAGCUGCUGAACCAUUUCUCAUUUGUGUUCUUGCCAGCAGCCAAAUCCAGAAUGUCGUGUUGAAGAUACUUGCUCAGUUUAGUGAAGUUGUAUGGGCAAUGGCAUAGGAAGAUUUUUUUUUUUUUUUUUUUUUUUUUUUUUUUUUUUUUUUUUUUUUGUGGGUGACCUGCUCUCUGGAUCUCGUGAUUAUAGGAGUUACUCCUUACUGUUAGAGGAGUUCAUGUCUCUCAGAUCUGGUGUUCCUUUCUCCUUGCCAUACUUACAUGGCUCCAGUGUGCUGUUAACUCAGUCUUUUAAAUCAUAGAUUGGUUGGGGUUGGAAGGGACCCUAAAGAUCAUCUAUUUCCAAUCCUCCUGCCAUAGGCAGGGACUCCUGCUAGAACAGGUUGCUUUAAAGCCCCAUCCAACCUGGUCUUGAACACUCCAAAGGAUGGGGCAAUUUCUCUGGGCAACCUUUUCCAGUGUCUUACCACUCUCACAGUGCAGGAUUUCUUCCUGCUGCCUAAUCUAACUCCUAUUCUCAUUCAGGCCAUUCCCCCUUGUCCUAUCACUACAUGCCCUUGUAAAAAUGUUGCUACUGAACUCAAUGUCUCACACGUGCAAAGGAAAGCAGAAAGUGUAUCUCUGAAACCCUUUGGUUGUCUUAAUUUUCUGUUGCUGACUUAUAGGUAGGGCUGCCUUAUGCCGCUGCGUGGGCGAUUCACUCUGUAUAGCGCAGAAAAAUUGGAGGACAGCUGGGAAAAUCCAAGGUGUGUUAGAAUCUGAUUUUAGAUGACACAAAGCUGCAGUCCAGCAAGUUGAUCAAAACACAUGUUAAGGCAUUUAAGCUGAACACAUUAAGGUAACAGCUUGCUUGGUUUACAGUGGGAUGCAGGUUUGGCGAUGCAUGUUGAAGCGCACCUCCCCUCCUCUGUGAGGAUACCCAGUGCCACUGCACCUCUCCCUGCAGCUCGCCGUGUGCACAGCCCAUGCCAGCUUUCAGUAGGGCUACUUGUUUUUGUUUUCAUCAGCUGUAAAGACUUAUUGAUUGAGAUAAUGGAGAUGACUGUUCUUUUAAGACUACUUGGAGGUCAAGGGUGCAUUUAACAGCACAAAGCCAUGAUAGGAAAAAUGAGGCAAAGAGUAGUAUUUUAAACAUUGCAGACUUGGCCUUGGCAGCAGCUUGCCACUCCAUGUGACCUGGAGAAUUUGGACUCCAAAGAACUGAAACAAUGUGCCUGCAUCUAGGACACAGUUCAUUUGUUUGAGCAUUUACCUUUGUUUCACAACAAAUGAUUGGCCUGCCUUGUCCUGCUAAAAGUAAAUUAGAUUUUGAAAUGGGAAGUGUCGUCUGUAGUCUGCAGACUGCAGUGUCCAAGUCAUGUGUUACUGAGAAGUUUUUAAUUUUUUGGUGGAAAACAGUACAGGUAGUUGUCUUUGCUAUGAUCUGUAUGUGUUCGUGGGCAUAUCAAACACAAAUAUUGACAUGCUUGAGAAUUUACAGAAGAAUAAAAUAAGUGAGGAUAAAUCCUUCUUGUCAUGUGCAAAUUAUGUCUACAUCAAAUUUCAAGUUGUCAGCAUUGAUGGAGGUGAUGUGUCAUGGCUGUUUUGGCAUAGAAGAGUUUGCUGUAGGAGUUCAUUUUCCUCUGCAAGGUAAAAAAACCCAAACAAAUCAAAUAUAUAGCUCUCCCUUUCACCACCCCCACCUACUGCUGUCAGCUCUGAGCUUUGUAGGGAUCUGCAGGGGGUUGGAGAAUGAUUCUGUUUUAAAAACAAAAAGCUCAAUCAAAGGAAAAUAUUUUGUUUAAAGAGACCUUUGGCAUCCCCCUCUGACUGUGACACCGAAUUUGUGCAGAUAAAAACAACUGCUUAGAUUUACAUUUUGAUUGUGCUUCUGCUUUCAUGUGUGCCGGGCUGUCCCACUUCAGGUGAAAUUUAUCCAUUUCUUUAAAUAUUUAGCAGUCUAGCGUUGAUGUUAAUGAAAGUCUAGCACUGCUAUUUUGAGCAUUGCAACAAUGAUAGUAAUUUUCAGUGUCAGAUUACUGCUUCUCGGAGGAAAAGGGAGAUGGGAGGAGGGAAGAGCAGAAAAAAAAAAAAAAUUGUUUCGGCUCUAAUAGAGUUUGUCAUCAGCCUGGCUGUGCCAGACAGAUGGAUCAUGAAUACUGUCUAGACGCUCUCUGCCUGAGUGGAGCUGUGGUCUCUAAGGACAAGCAGUGAGACGCCGGCUUAAGUGACUGGGGAAAGUCAGGACGUGCUCGCCGCUCAGCAGAUAGCGAGCCGGGCUGGUCCUGCCCGCCGGGGCUCCGAGCCGCUCAAUACCGAGCUCGGCUGAAACUUGGCUGUUCCGGGGCUUUGGGGGGGAAAGGAGAGGGAUGCUGUUCCGGCUGUAUUGAUUUCAGCUGCAUCUGCCCAGGGACUGCGGGGUGAUUUAGCUGGGAGUACAGAUCUCGGGAGGGGGUGCAUUGGGAGAGUCAUCAUCUGGCCAUAAAGCACACGCUUUAAAAGGCUGCGUGGUCACCUGUAUUUAUCAACUGCUUUAGUCACAGUGUACACUGGAAAACGCUUACUUACUUGCUUAUGUUUGCUUUAUUUGGCCACUUGUUCAGAAGGAUUCAUCUGUUCCCCUAGCCGGGGCUCCCAGUGUCCCCGGCUGUUACGAGGACGAGGUUUCAUGAGGCUGCCUUUGGAAAGGAGAAGCUGUGGGAACCAGGUGAGACCCACAGCCUGGGGCACAUCUUGUGCUAUCUAGUGGUCUCUCAUGCUGUUACUUUUCCCUUCUCUGUCACCAAGCACAAUUAAUCAUAAGGAAAUUUCUAAGGUAGAUGGAGCGAUAAAUAUUUUUUGACCAGCACAGUUUUAACAAAAACUCAAUUUGUUACAUAUGCUAACUUAUCUAAAAAGCAGGAGGUUCUCUUGGGUUCAGAUUGCAGAAUAAAUCAUAGCACUUUUGAUUUUAGUUCUGUGUGUAUGUCACUAAAUACUAGAUAGCUAUUUUAAUUUAGAAAAUCCAAUUGGUUUUCAGCCUGUAGUGCAGUCCUCUUUCUUGAAGUGGUAUAAUCAGGUUCUAUGCUUUGUUCUGAAAUAAUUUCCUCCUUGCAUAUUUUUAAAGCACAUCAUGGAACAUUAGCAAUUAAUAUUGAAAAUUUGAAAAAGAGGAAAGCAUUAAAGUGACUUUUGUAUAUUAUUUUCUUAAAACUUUGUAUGUAUUUUAAGAAAUAUUGUAUUCCCUAGCUUCUAAUAAAUGAAAUAGAAUCCUGGUCCCAUGAAUGCUCUAACAAAACUGCAGUGAAAUUAGAGUUUACCUAUUCUUCCUCUAAGGCCUUACACUACGAGUGAUUUGGACAAGCCAGACACACACAUAUGUGGCCAAUAACAGCCAUGAAAUGUGCUGGUACAAAAUCAGGUAUUUGCAUCUGCUUACAAAGAGGGCUGAACUGGGCUCCUGGUAAGGAACUGCCAUUUCACAAAGUUUAUAGCUGAACAUUAAUCACAUAUUUAUGGUUAAAGAGAGAAAGAAAAACUCACAAUACUGUGCAGAUGAAACUGUGGGGAUCUCACUAGCUUUGAAGUGCUAUUUUGUUCAUUCUAAAAAUAUGUAAAUCAAUUGUAUCACACUUAAUCAAGAUUUAGAAAAAAAUGUUCUUUAAAGUUGUUUGUAUUGUGCUCUUCAUGCACAUUUCAUUCAUCCUUCCUUCAAUUUCUGUCAACUUCCAGGAAACUUCAUCUAUUACUAAAUGUUGCUUCUCAGAACAAUCAUGUUGAGUGUGAUUUCUCCUGUCCCCUUUUUUGGCUACUGAUUUCUUACAAAUGCAGAUUGUAAGCUCUCAAAGUGUACUAUGUAAUAAAGUCUUCAUUCAAAGACCGAUUUUCAUGUAUCUUAGAAAGUGAUUAAGCUUCAGGUUGGAAAUCUCAGUACUGCCAGGCACGAUGGGACUUUUAUCUUACAGAUACACUUGGUUUUUCAAGACACCAGAGCUCCUCCUGGACCUGUGUGAGGCUGGGAAAUGACCUCCCACUCGCGCUGAGGGCAUCCUUUUUACUCACUGGUUCUCCACCAGAAGUGCAUAGUAGCAUAAACUUUUUAUCAAUGCGGGUGUAAAACUCAAGUAUGAAAGCCACAGUGCAGGCUCAUACCACAGGCAAGAUCCUCCCCCUGGAAAGAGAAUAAACUGUGAGACAAUUAUUUUCACAUAUUAUUUCACGUACACCUAGUAGGUGCUUGAACACGACAUCAGAAAUCAUUUAGGUUGUAACUGAGCAACUUUUGCUGCUUUUAUUUUCAGUCCACAUUACUGAGUAUUGUCCAUUGCUGCCCUUCCCUGCUAUAUUUUCAUUUGCAGGGAUCACACACUGUACUGUGCACUAGACAGCUAGAUUUACCUAGCUAAACCUCUGUAAGUUUUAGAUACACUUCUGAAAUCUUGCUGUGUGAAUUUUACAGGCACAGCUUUCCCCACCAUUCAUUCAAGUCACGUUGGUUAUUGGUGGUAAAUACUCCUUAGGAGGAGCACUGCACUUGUACUGUUUACACUUGGCUACUACAAGCCUGGAGGAGCCAUUGGGAACUAUUUCUUCUAUACAGCAUUGGCAGCUGUUCAGGUGUUUUAGGCAGAAUGAAGAUAACUUAUAUUUUCUUGCAGCUUAAAGUGUUUUGUGAAGGUUUAUUUAAAAAUAAUGUUUAAAAAAAUCCUCACAAGAAAGGGACAUGAAGUCAGACUAGAUCACCUUCCAUCUCUAAGAAUGUUGCAGACUGUGAUGUUUGAUUGCUUUUCAUUCUGCAGAUGUGCAUCUGACCAUUUAUCUCCAGAAACUCAUCAUCUUCCUGAUGAAAUGAACCACCUUAAUUUUUCUUAAGCAGGCUCAUCUACUUCUGCUGUAAAGUAACAACUUUAGAGAUCAAGGUGAAUUGGGAGUCUGCUUGUAAGUUCUGGUAUGAAUACAUGCACACUGAAAUAUUUCUGUCUGAAAUUUCUAUGUAAAUUAACAUACAGCUCAUUAACAUGAGCUCAUGCUCAAAGAAAUCCAUGUUUUUCAGUGAUCUCUACAGUGGUUUGUAUUGUGAGUGAAAUUAUGUUUUUCCAUAUCAUGUAGUGUUUAACCAAAGCAUGUUGCUCUGGUCAUUAGUGUGUAGCUAUUUUUCUCAGACUGGAAAGCCUGAGAAACCCUUAUGCUCUCCACAGUUUUGCAAGUGCUUGAAAGUGGCACAAGCCACCAUUGCCUCUUGUGGCUGCUCCCUCACUUGUUCCUGUGCAAGUGUUUGUGCAGGCACACAGGAGUUGGGUUGGAGGCUGGUCUGGUUCUGACGAGCUCUGAGAAGCUUCCACUUUGUUCUGGCUGGUGUCAUGUCCUUGGUUCUGUUCUCAGCUUAGCUGUGCAGGCUCUUGUGCCUGCACAAAAGCAGAGGGAGGUAGGAGUGGCUCUGUUCAGUGGGAGCUUAUCCUUGACUGGUUUAAGGUUUCUGUGCCUUAGUCCCUGCCCUUCUAAAGUAUAUGCAAAUAGACCUUUUCCUGAAUACACAAGAGUUUGGGAAUAAAGAAACAAUAGUUGCUUUCCCACUUUUCUGUAAUUCUGAAAAUCUCAUUGUUUGUUACUUUUUUGUAAUAGAAAAAUGAAACAGAAGAGUGAAGCAUCACACUGGGUCUCUCAGGGCUAUCCAUGGGCUUGGGCUCAUUUGGACUGAACUCAGGCUAGUACAAUGUAAUAAUACCAUUUUGAUAACCAAGUCCAGCUUGGCUUAAGUCAUGGGGCUUUAUUGGAAUGAUGCUAGCUAGUUAAAUUACUACAUAGGAACAGCUCUCCUGGGUCAGAUCAAAGCUAGCUCACCAUCAAAUCUAGCACUAGUCAGUUGCAGUUGCUAAAGUGAAAGAGUAAAAGCAAAUUAGAUAAACACUUAUGCUUUUCCCAGUAAACCUGAUUCCUUGGAGAAAUGCUGCACUGCUUUGCAUGAAGAGCAUGGGGUUUAUGUCCUCUGGAGAGAAUUUAGCAUUUAGAAAGGGCAGAAAUUGGGGCAAAGAGAAAACGCCUCAUUUCUGAAGUGUGAGAAUAAGCGAAGAUCCACCAACCCUUCCCUAACCAGUAGAUGUGUGGGCACCGUUGGCUUCUUCUGUAUGCAGCACAUACUUUUCAUGUUAAGACAUUCUGAAUGUAGGACACGAGCUAGAAGGUGCUGAAUUCAUGUCAGCUGGAAAGACUAUUUGUCUGGGUCUUUUCACUUAUUUUGUGAGAAACAUGGACUUCUAGUUUCUCUUAAGUUUACUGGUUUUUCCUGAGUGAUGUUGUGGGGUUUUUAGUCAGGAUUUGUGGACUGUGUGACAGCUUUAUACUUAAUGGUGAACCAAGUUCAUCUGGCAGGCUUCAAUUUAUUUUAGCUGUUUAAGAAAACAAAUGCACUCACAAAUCCUACUACACGUAGAAAACACAGUUGUCACCUGUGACUGUGUAGCGCACAGGCAUCAGAUACCGUGGGUGUGCACAUGCAUCUUAGAGCAGACUUGGGCUUAUUUUUGUUUUCUAUACAUGCAUGUUGUGUGCAAACCUAAGGAGUGAAUACAGACUGGUUAGAGUUAAGAAAAAUACCAGCAGCAUAGAAAUAUCUAUAAUCAGCUUCUACGAAAACACAAAUUGGUAUUCCUACCUUUGUUUAAAAACAACUGUUCUUUUAAUUACAGGUUAAGGCUUAAAAUAAUGACUAAAAGAGAAUUUCACAUUUUAUUUAGACCAUAAAUUAGACAGUGGAACCAAUUCUUUAUACUGAGUUACUGUUAGGAGCUAACAGAAAACAGAUCAGGACAGUGAGUUGUUAAAUCAAUUGUGUUUUGUGUGCGUUAGAUGACUUUUCUAACAUAACAAUGCAGUCUAAGGUGUUAGAGAUGUAUUGAACACAGCAUUAUUCAACCAUAUAUGAUAAGAUCUCAGGUCUACUUAUCUUUCCAGGAGUAUUGCUACACUGAUAGCUUCUUCCUUCCUUCUCAGUUUCCUCCUUCUCUUUCCUUCUGUUCAGUAUCACUGUCUGAUAGUUUUAUGAAAGCAAGACAACAUGAGGGAUCUGGGAGGGGGUAGAGAUAAUAGUGAUGCAUUAUGUGAAUACUGAGUCUGACACCUAGUAGCACCUUGAUAGAAAUAGAAAGCUGUGAUCACAGUAUUAAAAUAUGCUAACAAGCUGAAGGAGCUAAUGGGCUUAAUUUUUACAGUGCAGAUGUUAAUCCAGCACUUGUGCUGAAUGCAAUAACAAAUGUGUGGGGGCUGAUGGUGAUGUUACUGUGUUCUUGGCAGUACAGUCCUCCAAAACAAUCUUCCUUUCUUUGAUAUUUUACUAAGAGUUAGAAUGUUCUUUUUUUGUGGUCUAAGAUAACAAAUGUAUAAAGAAAUUGGCAUGACUAAGGCUGGUUGGGCUAGGGCCGUCUUUAUUCAGAUAGGGGGUUCUGUAAGAAUUGGUGUACCCCUGUGUUUGGUGAUGGGGAUUGCUGUUCCAGUUCUUAUAUACUUCAUGUUCCACAGCUCCUACUAAAUUUCAGAUAGUUUUAUUUUUACUGGUUUCAAAACCGAGCUCAUCUGGCCAGAAUAAACCAUUUGCUUUGAGAAGCUGUAGAGCUACAGUCUGAUAUAAAGCUCAACUCCCAGUCUUUCCUAGAGAAGAGUCAAUAGUCUCCUGGAGAACAGUCACAGUGGCCUGUAGUCCACCCCAGUGCCUCAGCCUCACCACCCACCUCAUGGCAUUUCAUUGUGUUCAGUGCUUUGCAGCUAAUGAGAAUAAUACUGUUAUCCUGUGGAAUCUUUCAGCUCUUUCAAUAGGAAAUGAUCUUGACUUGCUUCCAGCACAUUUGGAUAUUCCUGUAGAAAUGACCUUCUGUACCAGUCAAAGAUUUUUUUAGACAUUGAUGGGGAUUAUUAUGUUGCAAACCUCUCGUUUUUCUCUUUUUUUCCUCUCCCUAACAAAAGUACUGGCUUGUUUAAUUACCAGCAGGAAAGGUGCACGUGGCUUUUGUUUGUAAUAAGGUGCAUCUCUCACUGUGAAUACCUGUCACUUUUGAUAGGCUAUUACAAUGUAAGUGAUCAGUCAACUGGCCCUGAGUAUUCAGGGCUGCUGGUGCUCCUCCAGCAAAUAAAUUUGUUGCAUAUAGAAUGCAGGUUUCAAACCAUGUCCCCUUUUGACAAGCAUCUAAGAUAAUGUGCAAGGAAAAUAAAUUUCACUGAUGUUAGAAAACUGAAGGAAGGACUGAAAUGAUAUGAGGAAUGGAAGACUUGUCAGUUAGUGAAUAGGGCUUGCCACCAGUUCCAGGUUUGCUUGACAUCUCUGCUACCAACUUCCUGGGCAACACUGAUGAAAUAAUUCUUUGUUUUCUUUCUGAAUUUCCUUAUUUAAAAAGGGGAGAUAAUGAUGUUCAUCUACUUUGGAGAAGUAAUAAAAGAAGAUUAAAUUUUUAUGUGGUUGAAAAACAGGAAAAGGGAUGUUAAGCUGUAAUAGUCUCAGAAAAUGGGUAUUAUGUACUGGAAAAAAGUGCAAUUAUAAGGUGACAGAGAGAAUGAAAAAAAAUUGGAAGUAUGUGUUUUGUGUUGUGCAUUAACAUUGUCACAUACUGUCCAUUAUUAAUACAUGUAUAUUUAAUUUUUCACUUGUAUGGCAACAAGGAAAUGGAUAUGCUAGAUAGUUUCUAAGUAGGUACAUAAAAAGUGGGUACAUAAUUUGUAUUAAAAUGUGAGUAGAAACAAAAGUAGAGGAGAGAGUUUCAUCAGUCAACUGUAAUUCCACAACUGAAGCAGAAUAUCCUAAAAUAUGGUAAAUUGUAACGCAAUAUAAUGGUGUUUGGUGGUGUGUUGGAGAAGUUUGAAAAAGAACUUUGGAAGAAUUUAAUCAAAUGAGGUCAGCAGUCAACAGAAUGAUGAAUGAAAUUCAAUCUUGAUUAAUGCAAGUAAUUCAUACUGGAGGGCAAAGUAUUAUACAUUUUAUUAGGUCCUAAUUAAUUGUGUAAUUUAAGGAAAAGGACCACUAAAAAGCAUCACUAUGAAAGGCUGAAUGCAGAUCUCUUUAGAGAAAAGAGUUGUGGUCAGAUAAAGUAUUUUGAGUCAAUAAAAAUAGGAUGUGAAAUGUUAUGAUGCUGCUACAUAAAUCAACAUUUAACCUUUAUUUAGAAUGCUGUGUUGCUGCAGCACAGAAACAAACUGUGGAUGUAGAAAACACAGGAGAAAAAGCAGAAGGAAACCAUGAACAGACCUGGAUAUGUAUAGAGCACAAAUAUUUUGGAAUAAUUUGCUUUUGAGUUUAGGUAAAGGGUGCGGAAAUAAAAAGGUACAGAGAACUAUGGGUGUGGAACAGAGGUGCUCAGGCACUUAUGUGUGGUAAGAUUAGAAGAUCAUUCAGUACAGUUCAAAGUUGAUACAAAAGAAAUAUUUUCACAGUCUUUAUGCUGUAUACCUCAUUACCCUGCAAUGCUUUUGAAGCCAAGAUUUAGCAAUACUUAAAGAAAGGAAGCCUCUCAACACUGAGUCCACUCGUGUAUAACUAUCCAGGGGGUAGUUGUUAAGAAAUGUAUAUGGCUGAAGUUUCAGGUAUUCAGUUAAUUUCUAGCUACAAGAUCAUGUUGAGAGCUUGGGAGAAUGUUUUCUCAUUUUUUUGAGAACUGAACAUCCUUAUCCAGGAAGUCUCUGUGUGUGGGUUCCUAAAUUUGGGGUGAAACUGAAGUCCAUAAUUAGUAGUUUGUAAUGCUCCUUAGGGCAGCUAUGAUCAAAAUUCUUACGUGCAGUUUCCCUGACUUAAGUAAUUACUGAUAUUGUGUGUAGCAACCCUCUGUCAUACCUUACAACACAGAAAUCUCUAUGUCUUGUGUAUCUAUCUUUCAUAGAAGGUGGUUAUCUAGUGAGGCUGGUGCACUGAGUGGCUCAUCAAGCAGAAAACUGUGGUAUCUCUGCUGGCCUGUGCUGGAUUCCUACUGCACACCAUGCUGUAGCCCUGGGAGGGUGUUAAGCACAUCUCCAGCACAGGAGAGCACGCUGACAGGAAGAGUUUACUAGGAAUUGCGAAGGAAGCAGGUUUAAGCAAGCAAGGCUUAGAAUUAAAUGUGUUGCAAUAUGUAUUGGUAUUUGAUCCUUUGAAGUUUCCUACAGCCCUUCUGUCCAUUCAACUCAUGCAGUUAGUAAACCAGACCCUCAGACAUUUCUGCUUCUUAAACACGAUGUACUGAACUCCAUAUGUAGAUGCCCAACAUUAGUGGACAGCACUUGUAGGUCUUCUCUUCUUGUAGAAGGUGAUAACAGUUGCUUUGCCUAUUACAACACGAGCUCUCCAUUAAUUAGGACUUUCAGAGAGAGAUGUGUGUAGGCUAUGAACAUGCAGAGUGAUGCAGAGAGGUGGGAAACAGAUGUGUGGUCAUAUAUGCACCAGCCAGCUAUUACUCAGAUACCAUCCGCCUGCUAAUUAGUGCCUGGAAUGUUGAAUAACGUUGGUGUUUAUGUGAUUGCUUGACUGCAGUCCUGCAUCUGGUUUUCACACUUGUCUCAAUCGCUGCACAGUACCAUAAGUAACAUGCUUCAAUUAAAAUUGUUUUGAAAGUGAUGUAUCUAGAACUUCCUUGUUACAACAGAUUAAUUUCUUGGUGUAGAUUGCUGUAAGUAUAGGGCCAUCAGCUUUCUGUGCCCUUGAAGAGCUAGCAUUUGGGUUAACACUGGAGGGGAAACCUGACUCAUCCAUUUUGCUUCCUGUCAUGCUAAUGAACCCAGUGUGUGCCAUCUCAACUUUAAAUUACCCCCUUGGUGAUUCUCAGUGUACCCCUUUCAGUGAUGAGACAGCAAAGAGGAGCCAAUUUCUGAGCUGCCAUAGCUGGGGAAGUUAUGGGAUAAUAUUACCUGUGUGACAAGCGGCUCCUUAGGAAAACUACUGCAAUUUAUCUUAAGUUUGUGUUUUGCUGUAUUAUCUCUUAAGAAUUUUGAUGCAAAGUAUUAGUGUUUCCAGUUGCUACGUCUUAAAAAAACCAUGCUUGCAUGCACACAUAUGAGCAUAUAUUUUUAGAGCAGACUUUUUUCUUUUGUGAAGUCCAGAUCUGAGAUAUGUUUCAGUCCUGCACAUCAUUAUAGGAACAGGCAGUAGCAGACAGCACAAUUAGUGUUGCCACACUGGGGUUAUAAAUUAUCUACUACUCUAUACUCUGCUGUAUUCCAGGUAAAAGGCACAUCUGUAGAUCAGAAAGAGUGACUCUGAAUGCGAUGCCAGAACAUAAAUACAGAGAUGAUUUUUCUCUGAUCCAGUUUCUGCAUUUGUAAAAUGUUUCUCACGCUUUCCUGGAGCAACUUCCUUCUUUAUCCAUAUGAAAAAGCUCAUGAAUUGGAAGAGUGUUUCUAUCUUCCAGUUGAAAGGUGUAUUUUGCAGAAUACAGAUGAGAUAUUUGUUGGCUAGCAAAGAAUAAAGCAAAACAAGAGACAUGCCUUUCAAGUACAAAUGGGGCUUUAGAGAUCUCUUUUGGAGAGCCGAAUUUCAUGUGAGCACAACUGUUUCUCCAUAUUGCCUGGAACUUCAGUUACAUACUUGGCCAUACUUUCUAGUAUGGGUUCUAUAAAGAUAUCAUUUGCCAUGAUAAUUGUGUACAAAAAUGUUUAUGCACAGUAAAAAUGGAUUUCAGAGACCUUUGAAUUGCACCCACAGAUACAAAAUUUUGCAGUGCUUUUCAAUAUACUGAGCUGGAUUAAAUAUUAGUAGUAAUAAUAAAUAGGUGACAAUCCUCUCUUCAUUCUGCAGGGCUAACUAAACUUAAUGCUUUGAAGCAUAUCAGGUUUUCUUUGUUUUUAAUAUUUCUAAUAUUUGACCUCUCUAGUGAAAAAGGCGAAGUAUUUUUUAAAUAUAAAAAUCUUGUUUGCAGAGUGCAUUUUCAUUACACUGGUGGUCUCUGACUGAAAAAGAGUAAUCACAGACUUUAUAGCAUAUUUUUAACUAGGUGGAUAACUGGUUAUUAUAGAGAAUGUGUUGGUUUUCUAUUCCCAGCUAAAUAGAAAAAUUACGUUAGUAAACUAUAGACUGCGUAGGCUUUUUCUAGAAAUUGUUUUCUUUAAUUAUGUCAUAUAUAAGCCCUAGUCAAAAGGUAUAUUUGUCCCUGAUUUCAGCAGCAGUUAAGUCAUUUAAGUAGGAGCUAGACACACAAAUGUGUUCUAUAUGUGACCAUAGUAGCUAUUUAAGCUGAGGAUUUAAGCAGACAGAAUGUAAUUAUCCCCAUUGCAAGACUAAUACACAAGGGAAAAAUACCAUAGGAUUUUGUAAUAGCAGCAAGUGGUCAAGACAUUACAUUUAUGCUUUGCUAGUUUUACCAGCUGUGUCUCAUUCCAUUAUUCAGACAGACAGACACAUACACACACACACACCUCUCUUCUAAUUAAUUAUAGUUGCCUACCAGUGGGGGAGGAAAAAAAAAAAACAACUCCAGAGGUGAUUUUCCAGAGAAAAUCUGAUUCUAGAGUGGGGCCACUUCUAGAAAUCUGCAGAUGUGAAAUAGGUUUUUGAGGUUUAAAAGUCUUUGAUCAUCACAUGAAUCUGAAAAAGAAAUGCAGUUAUUGGGAUUUUCUUAGUGAUGUACUUAUCUCAGUUAAAAUCAAAAGAAAACAUCAGAAAAAGACUUUGGUUUUUCUGCCUUGUGUUAUGCAUGAAGCUGCGUCUAUCUAUGAUUCACAGUGACAAAACAUUACUCUGUGGAAAACACAGUGAAGGCAGGGCACUGUGCAUUAGAAACCAGGGUUUAAAGUGCUACGUCCAAAUGGGCAGGUAUAGGUGAUGACACCACAUCACCUACGUUCCUAAACUCUUAAUCUUUAAAAAAACCCCUUCUGUUUCACAUGGUAUAAUAUUUCCUUGCCAGCAGUGCCUCGCUCUCUGCUGAAAUACAGUGUUUGUGAAGGAGAGCUGGCUGAGCACGAACACUGGGAAAUAAAAAUGAAAACAGCUACAAAAUACACGGGUGUUUGAAGAUGGUAGAAUAGUGUUUUGGGUUUUUUUCACAUCUUUGGUAGAGGGCUGGGGUAGAAGAUGGUCUUUUAAACGUUCUUGAAUAUGAAUAAGAGCAAGUAUCUAAUCCUUUCACUUGCAGGGGUGUUUGUUUUCUAUGUGACUGAAUCACUUGCUCUCCUGAAGGCAUCAGCCCUGGUCUCUAAAUCCUCCUGCUGGCCUUUGAAUCUUGUAAAUAUUUUAUUUUUUCAACUGGAAUUAAAGCCCCAUCUUGACUUUGUAGCCUCCAUUUGAUUCCUUCACAGGCUAAUUGCUGGCCUUUGGCAGUGUGUUGAAGUUAAGCACGGAUAAAACAUGUUUCAUGGACGUGAAGCCCUUAGAUGCACUGCAGUUUUGCACAGUAUUUCCGCUGCUCAUAGGAGUAAUUGUAUUCUGACAGAGCUGUUUAUUUGUUAUGUUACACGUCUGCAGUGUACAUUACCUUGAAAGAGUUGAGACAAUGCUACAUUGACUUGUUUAAACAGUAACAAUCCUCAGAAAAAACACCUGGGCUUUCUAGGUGUGUCCAUGAAGGAUGGAGAAACCGGGACAGUACUAGUCUGAGAGUGAAGAGAUUGGGUGAGAUUUGGUGGAGAGACUGGAAGAUGGAUAAGUUGUGGUAGGCAGAGUGAGGCUGCCUGACAAGUCAGUAGGUGGGAAGAAAGCAGGAGGUGUGGCAGGUUGUGGGAAGAAAAAGUUGCUGGAGUUCCCAAAGACAUCGCCCUGCCUUGCCGGGCUAUUGCCAUCCGAAACUCGCUGCGUGCGCAUGGGAGCCAGCUGCCCUUCCUGCUGCGUGUCCGGAAGUCAGUUUAUUGGAACUCCCUGAGUUUUUGGGUCCUGCUUCUGCAGGAACCCUUGCAGGCAGCUCUGGGCUCAUGGUCCUGCGUUUGCAGUCAGCCACUCUGCAUGAGCAUCUUGGUAGUGAGGAUGCUCUCAGGCAGAGCGCUGCAAAGCCUCGUUUAUUCAGAUUUGGGGCAUUUGGAACACCUAAUUGUACUGUCAGUGUUCCAUGAAGAAAACACCAAGCAAUAAUCCAUCGUUUUAAACACCCUGUAAAAGCAAUUGGGAAAUUAAGUGCUGCAGGAUUAGGGUCCUAAUUGCUCAUAUAUAGUGUCUCAGCUCAGGCUGGUGAAAAUAGACCUUGUUCUUUCUUACGUGGCAUCAUUCCUUUCACUCCUAAAUUAGGCAGUGAUUAAAAAGAUCUAUAACUGAAGUUCUCUGGGUCCCUGUGAUAGGGCUGGGUGGGAAGAACCUCACACUGAAAGAAGGUUUGUUGAUUUAGCUGUGCUGGAUAUCUAAUGUUUCACCCUGACUGUUAGUUUCAUAAGUACUAAAUGUAGUAAUUAUGCUUAAAUAUAAAAAACAAAAGAAAAAAAAAGUUUCAAGUGUUCAGACUUAUGGAUGACUGGCAGAUUAAAUACCAGGGACCUGGCAGUGUGUGCAUGGCUCUGGUUCAGCUGCAACUCCUUCGACCAAACUGAUGGGCCUAAGGACUAGGAAAAAGACAAGUUAGAGAUUGCCACCAUUGCUGGUGAGUAGAGUUAAACAGCAUGAAUAUGGAGGAAGCUGUGUUUUAUAUAGUAUUUGUGUUUGUGGUGUAAAUCCAUUCAUGGCUUUAGUUACUUCAGCAAAUAUGGUUGAAGAGCUUACUACUGUUUCAUUUUAAUUUCAAAAGAAGUUGGGAACUAGACACAGAACACAUCCAGGGAGGCCUAUUUAAUAUGGACAUACAGAGUAGCAAAACUGGGACCUGGUGGCGUAAAGGGGGCUCUCUUAAAGCAUUGCUUGGUGUAAUUAAUUCAUGUCACAGCAAAUCUAUAUUUUGGGUAAGCUUCAGAAAAUUCUGGGCUGGAAGAGAAGGGUGUGAGGACUUGCUGAUUGUAGGACAGUAAUUCUCUUAGUGAGCAGGUACACUGCCAGCUCGAACUGGUGCUGAAAACAAACAUGUAGAAAACAUGGAUGGUUGUACGUAGUAUGCUGGUACUGGUUGUGAGGACUUGAAUUCAUGCUUGUAGGUAAAAGUACUAAACUUAAGCAUAAUGCUUCCUUUCACUGAGUCCUACCUACUUUUUUCAGCUGCCCAUUGCUGAGGAAAGAAGUGAAAGGAGCUCAUGAAAUAUGGCUUCGUCUCCCUUUGAUUCAGCUGAUGCCAAGGAUGGAACUAGACAGUGAUCUUCACUCUUUCUUCUUUCAUCCUGCUAUCCUUUGAUGUUUUGCCUCCUAAAAUCCUUUUUGCCAAAUCAAUCCAACUCCUUCUGGUCAAAGUGUGGGUGUUAGAGUGUCCACUGACAGCUUUGAGCUUCCUUGCUUUCAUUCAGGCACUUGGAAAGGGACAAUGAGGCAGCAAGGAAGAUAAAAGGAGUCAUUCAGACUUCUGUUUCAGAUGAAAGAAUCAAGUUUGGUGACAUAUUCCAGUCUAACAGUAUGGCUUCUGUUCUUUGGGGCAAAAUAUAUAAGAAUAAAGUGAACAAAGAAGUAUUCAUACUGUAUCUGCUGAAUUGUAACCCUGUUCCUGUGUUGUACACCAGGUUUUUGAGCCAUGUGGAUUUUAAUGAAGAAGAUUAACUGGAAGUUUGGGUCCCUUCUCCAUUCUCCUUUCUCUCUUCCCUUUCCACUCUCCUGUUCUUUAAAAUCAUCCCACAUGACCCCUGUAGGAGGAGUUUUCAGGAAUCAGUUCAGGGUCAAAGUCUGGAUUUCAUAGACCCAUGUCAGGUCACAGGGUUGCUUUGCACGAAUUUACCACUGUGGAAUAAGCAGUUCCAACUUUAAAAGAUUUAUAUCUUAUUUAUCAAUAUAUUUAUGUUAUUUAAACUUAUUUAUAUUAUCUUCUUAGUAAGAGGCAGUCUCCACAGUGUACUGGAAGGGAGUGCAGAGUGUUCAGUGUUUACUGAAAGGCUCUAUAGAGUUAAAAUCUGCAGAAAAAGUACCCAGUUCAUCACAAAGAGCUAUUUUCUGGAAGCUUAAGUUUUGUUUUGUUUUUGGUUUUUUUUUUUUUUUUUGAGAAGGUCAUUUGGGUCUGUAUUAACUUGAGCUGACGUCUAUAUUUUUUUUCCCACAAAACAUAAUGUAAACUUUGUACAUUCCCAGUGAUAAGUCAGAUGUUACAGCAAGCUCAAGGAGAGAUUUGUACUCUGGGAAAUUAAACUCCACUGAAGCUGGUGUGUUGUUAAAGGUCUCAGAAACAGGCUUCAUUCAGAAUGUUUAGUUAAAAUCUCAAAGAUAGCAUAUAUUCCUAGAUAUUAAGAUAAUAGAUAUUAACUAAACUGCUAAGUUGGAAAGGGCAUGAGGGCAUGAGAGGAAAGGAGUAAUAAAAAAAGUAAUAAAAAAAAUUUAGAGCAUGUCAGCUGAAGAUCAUUUACAUAAAGGGACAACACAAUUAAGAUAAACUAAAUACUAUUAUAAACAAACGAAUAAGCUAAUUUUAAUUAAGAUUAAGUGUGAUUGGAUUUAGGUCCUCCUCACUGCUCAUGAAGAAGUGGGUCUGUACUCUCUAUACCAUGCCUCCAUCAUAGUGUUCCUGUUUGGUAGUUUUAGUCAUUCAGUCCAGAAAAAACCAACCUGGAAACUGGCUUCUUGGAGUACAUCUUAAUGUUUUUCAAUAAAUUGAGCACAGCUGAUUUCUUCCUUUGUUUUUUUUCUUUUUUCUUUUUGUUUUGUGGGUUUUGUUUUUUGUUUUUGUUUGUUUUUGGGAUUUUUAAGAAUUUUUGGGGUUUUUUCCCCUCUGGAAAACUCCAUUGGAUCUGUGUUGUUUGGAUUUCAUUUAUCUCUUUAGAUCUGCUUCCUUCAACUCACUACAAGGAGAUAUGGCAUGGUAUUUUUUUGCUAAGUCAACUUAGCACAGACUAGUUUUGAGGAAAGUGUAAUCUUUCACCUCUUGCUGGUGUAGCUGUACUUCAGUAUUUACAGGUUAUAUUUUCUUCUAUGGACUUGUUUGUUUUGCAUUGCUGACUUUAAGAAGGUCAAAUUUACACUUUAGAACAAAACUACUUGCCUACAAGAGUACUGGAAAAAAGAAUGCUUCUGGAACAAAGAAUGAUUAUAAUGAAACUCAUCUUCUCCCAAAGAGCCUUCCAUGUGAAGUGCCCCAAAAUUCUUGUUGGCUUGUCUUGGGUCCUUGUUUUUUAUCAUUUUGUUAUGUCCUCAGGCUUGGACUUUUUGUCCUAAUUCUCUGUUGUUAAAAAAAAAAAAAUAAUAUUCUGGUUGGGUAAGCAUUUGUUAAAAGAAAAUGUGACCUAAGAUAUAAACUUGUAAAAUAGGUUGUUUUUUAAGUCUGUAUGUAUUCUGAGUAAAACGGAAGACUGAAAACUUUUUGUUUAGGGUUGUGAAGCUUGUAUUGACAUAAAAAUAUUCAAAUUACCUAAAAUGGUAAAUUGUGAAUGUUCAUCACAUAGCAGUGAAAAUGCUUUCAUGUUGGAGGUGUGAUUAUGAUCUAUAGAGUGAGUGCAACAGUGCUAGUUGGGAUGUAAAGUUCUUUACUGGAAAUAGAAAUGUGUCCAGUCACAUGAUGUCACUGCACCCCUCAUUUUCAUUGGGUCAUGCAUGUGUCCCAGCUAUUUUCAGAAACACUGAGUAUCUUCAGAUUGGGUGUGAUGUUCCUGGUGCCUGGGAAAGGGGCACUCAGUCUUUUGGAUCUGUGACUAUCCUAUGCCUCAUCCACCAGUGACUGUCCAGUUGUAGAGCUAACAGCUUUUUUUUUUUUUUUUUUUUUUUUUUUCAUAGAAAGGAAACAAAGAGCAUAUGUUAAGUUAGAAACCUUCUGGUUUAGGUUUGGAAUAAUCUCCUAGGGAAGCCAUCAUGAAAACCAUUUUCUCCGACCUAAAGCAACCUAAAGGAGGAAAACUACAGAGAGGUAUUUUGAAAAGCAAGAAAACAUAGCUGGCCCUUGAAUAGCUGCUACUGUCUGCCCUUGUUAAUGGUCAGACCCAGCUGUACAGCAGAGAAAUAAAAAGGGAAAAAGCCCAGAAGCUCCUGAAAUAAAUGUAAAAAACCAGGGAGCAAGGCUUCCCUUAAACAGGGAAAAAAGAGGGUUCUCCAGCAUUCAGAGAUCCAUUCCUGUAUUUACCCAUUGUAACUGCUUACCAAAUCCCUUCAAAAGUUUCCUCCCAGAAUUUACCCUAUACCAAGACACAAACCAAAACAUCCUCCAGAAUACUUGCAGUGCCAUAGAUAAUUCCCAAGCCCAGGCCUGUGGAAGCAGAAGCUGGUGAGGGAAAAAGCCACUUGAUGAGAAAGAGCAAAGGGCAGAGGUUGAGUUUAUCUGGCAGGACUUUACACUGGGUGCCUAGUCUUUGUGUAACUGAAGGGACUUUGCAUAAGGGACAAACUAAUUUAGCAUCUUCCAGGAAAUCUGCAUUUUUUUCAUUUUAUUUAAGUUCCUCGUACAGUGACGCACAUAUUCCGGGAAAAGGUCAACAUCAGCAAGCAGUUUAGUGGGUAAAUUUUGUUGACGAGUGCCAGUGAAAUAAAUUUCGUUGAUGAAUGCCAGUGACCAAAGAAAUAAAAUGUGGAAAUGAGAAUGGGAGACUGACCUGCUAGUAGACAGCAGAAUUAAGGGAGAGAGGUUUGAGACAUGACAGACAAAACCAAGGCAAUAUGUACUUAAAGACAACAAACUCCCUCAAUGCUUAUAUUGGGUUAAAAAUGUAUAUUAAUAUGAAAAAAAAUCUUCCGAAAUUAAAGAACAGUUUUUGGACACUUUGCAUGUCUUACAAUCUCUGUUAUCCACAGUGUAUGGUUUGGUAGGUUGUUUUGGUCUUACAUGGUACUGAAACACUUAGGCUGGAUAAUUUAAGGAAUUUCACUGGACUGGUGUGUACAUUACCUGUGAAAGGCUACUAAGGAUAUGAAUGCCUCUUUUGCCUGUUUCACAUGCAUACAUGGAUGUGCAUUCACAUAUGCAUGUUUAUUGUAUGGUGUUGAAUAAUACAUGUGUACAAAAAGUAAUUUCAACACAAAAUAAUGUAAUAUGGGGUAUUUAAUUUUUAAAUUAAUAUAUAAAAUAAUAAAAAUAUAGUGUAGUAUAAAAUAAGCUCUACUGCAUCCAACACCAUAGAUGAAAACUCAGUUGACAGAGGUAUUCUAAACACUGUAAGACUGUUGUAAUCCAGCUUCUAAAAUUCACAGAAUGAUGGCUAUGUGAGUAGUAAUAAUUAUUAUAGUCUUUAUAUUUCUGUCUGCUCAGAGGAAUUUAAAACAUAGGACAGAGCUGUGAUGGCAUAGUAUUUUUUCAAGAUGAUUAAAACUUUUAUUAAUAUCCAGAAUUUUUAGAUGCUAGAGUAGAAAACUUUGUAAUUGAACAUCUUGAACAAUUUGUGUCUAAUUAUAAAGAACGCUGUGUAAGCAGAAUUUAGUACUUUUUUGGAAGUCGAGGUUAAGGUUAAGCAGGAAGGAAGACUGGGUAAUGACUUUUCUGAGGGGAAGAACAGAUAAGUUGUACAUAAAUAUAGCUUCCCCAGACAGCCUUUGUGUUCAACUACCUGACCUAACACUAAAUUUAAGAAAAGUUCUGGCUGCUAAUGUGCAAGAUCAGAAAAGCAUCCCAUUCAGAACUGGCAGCUGUCUGAUAAUUAUGUUGUGGUUGUUCAACAUCUGUUUCUUGAAGUAAGUGUUUUUUCACCUAGGCUAAAAUACAGACUCCUUUCUUGUUCAUAGAGCCUGUACUGUUGGAUUGUUUGUGCUUGGAUUUCUCUGCUUUACAGGAUGUGGGGAAUGCCCUCCCCAGUGAGAUGAGAUGUGUUCAAUAGGUGACUCCUGUUUCUGGGUAGCAAGACCUGAGAAAGAAAGAAAGCCCACGAUUCUCUAUUGGUUGUUCAGAAAAUCAAGAAUAUUUCUGAUCUCUGCUUUGGUGUACAGAGCAGACUAUUGCAAAAAAAAUUGCCUUUCCCUAUCAAAGCUGCUUUAAAUUACAUGUCUUCAAUCAUUUUAAGUAAUCCAGAAGGAACAAUUUUAGGGUAAAUUUGGAGCUUCCCAAAAAACAUAAGGACAACGGCAUGGUGUCUCCAUUUUUUUGCUUAGUAAAUAUUAAUUUAUGACAUAUCUACAUUUGCUAAAUAUGUGAGAAUUAAGUACAAAAAGCAAGUUCAACAAUCCAGAGGUUUCUGGUUUUUGGUUGUUUUGGUAUUUUAGUUAGCAUGUUGGCUCUGCUUGAGUUUCCUGCACCUGCUUGUAAAACAAUAGACAAUACAACUCCUCCAUAAUAUAACCUUGCAAAAUUUUGAAGUGUGUUAUAAAUAACUUCCUAGUAAGCCAGAACAAGAUUAGCAUGUUUUUGCUGUUACUUUUCCCCAGCGCAGAUUGGAAAAGUUUGUGCACUGGAGUAGUUUACAAGUUGAUAUCCUGCCUUUGGUUUCAUUAAAAUGCUGGUUUUUAACAACCCUUUAUCAAGUUACUUCCUUUCAGAUAAAGGACUCAAGGAUAUGUAUUUUCCCUCAUAUUUCCCCUCUCCUCCUUCUUUCAAGCUUCAGGAACCAGGACUUUGAAAGGGUUAGGAAAGCUCCCCAUUUGAAGAGCUUGGGUACCUAAGGCUUCAGGUCUGGAACACAACAGGAUCUGCUCCCUUCUGUGGCACCGCUCCCAGCCCGAGCUGCCCUGGGCAGCGAGGGAGAGUUCAAGGUUCACUUUGUGCUCUCCCACAGUGUAGAUGACAUUAUGCAAACAGCUACAUCAAGAAUUUAUUUAUUGAUCUUGCUUUUUUAAAGAGGAAAUGUAAGGAAAAAAACAACUGAUGGUUUAGGGGGAAAAAAAGUCAGAAAGAAGAAUUUUGGGUCCUAUGAGAUAAGUGUCGAACACUGUUUCUUUGCACAGAACACAGGAACGCCAGCUGGCAAGGCAUUUAUUUUUGCUUCAGAAUGUAUUUGAACAGUAAACAAUUUAAUAAACUUUCCUUUUUAGUAGUUUUCAAGCCUUUUCUAGAAGACAGCUAUAAAUUGUGUGAAAAAGACAUGUAUAAAUUAUGUCUCUGGUAUGCACAACAGUUUUGUUGAGACUUCUGUGGGUUUUUGUGGGUCUAAUAGUAGUACUGACCCCUUAAAACAAAAAAGCUUAAUAUCUUUGGGUGAGAAAGUGAAUUGUAUUAACCAUCCCAAGUAAAUCUUUGCUGGUUUGAAUUUGGAGACAUCUACUACUUUCAGGCUGAAAAAAUGUCUUUUGGAAAAAGUAUCUUUUAGUGAUCCCCAGUAGAAGAGAGAUGUGGAGCUACCAGGCAGAAUCGAGCAAAGGACUGUGAAGAUGAUGAUGGGCAUUUCUUCUUUGAGGAAAGGCUGAAAGAGCUGGGACUGCUCAGCCCGGAGAGGAGAAGACUCAGGGGGUGUCAUCAUUAAUACAUUGAAGGAAGGGUGUACAGGAGAGGCAGCAAAGUGCUUCCCAGUGACAGGACCAGAAGCAGUGGGCACAAACUGAAACAAAGGAGGUUCCCCCUGAACAUAAGAACAUGCUUUGUUUUCACUGUGACUGAGCCCUGGCACAGGCUGUUCAGGGAGGCUGGGGAGUCUCUGUCCCUGGUAUUAUUCAGAAGCUGCCUGGACACAGCCCAGGCCACUUGCUCUGGGUGGCUGCGCCGAACAGGGUGGUUUGGAGCAGAAGACCUCCAGAGGUCUCUUCUCAACCAUUCUGUGAUUCCAUGCAGCUAUGCUAUGUCUUUAAAGGAGUUCUCGUAUACUGAUUUUCCUCUCUUCUUUUUCAUCUUUCUUUUCCAAAGAUUUGCCUUAUUUGAAGCAGUUGAUUGCAAGCCAAUCUAAACCUUUAGUCUAGACAGAUAAAACUGUUAUUUGCAGCUUAUCUGACUUGCAGUCAUAGCAAUUCCACAGGUGCACAGAGCAAGUUCAUACUGGAUUUAUUUUGCCUUCCCUCUUGGCUUGUGCCUGAUUUGCAUAUGCACACUGUCCACCGAUGGCUGAAACUUGUGAAUCAGUCUGUUUAUACAACCUAACAUCAGAAGAUGUGUCCAUGUGGAUGCAGUCAAGAUUGCUGAGAUACCUCACAAAACUUGUUAAGUAUCAGAAGCAUAAUUGCAUUAGUCUAGGAAAAUGCUGUGCUAAUGUGGAUAAUAACGUCCAAAGUAAUUAAUUGCUGAUGUAUAUUACUACGCUGUCCUGUGUACGUCAGCCCUGCAGUUGUUGUCCCAGAGUCUGGUAUCUGCCCUCAUUUUAUUUCAACAGACUUCAACUCCACAGGAUAUAAUGUAGGACAUAAUUGAACAAUUUCACUGUUCCUAAAAUGAAAUAGAAGAAGUAACACUGUUUGUCUUGAUAAACCAUAUCUUAAUUGGCUUUGAGGAGGACGAUUUCCCAAAAACGAACCUGAGUUCUGCCAUUAAAGGAAAAAAAAAUUGUUAAUGGAAAUUGGAAGGAGUUUUCAUUUUGUUCCAGCAGAGUUCCUAAUUCUGCAGGCAAAAAUAGGAGCAAUUUUUCAUCUGUCAAUAACAUUCUGCCUGAAUCUGGGAGUAAUGGCCUUCUGCAUCAUCUUGUUUACCGCUCCUGGUUGAAAAAUGCUACAAAUUCAGUAUCAGAUUAGACAGACACAUUUGUUUAUAAAGCCUGUGAGGCUGAUGGGAUACCAGUUUUCCAAGCCAUUUAUAAAUAGCAGUAUUUUAGGCUGGGGUAGAGGCUGAAUGGGGAAGCUUCAGAGGGAGAGAGUGUAGAGCUGUGACCCAGAGCUGCAUUCAUGCAUGAAAUGAGAUCUUGUACAGUGGACGUUCUUAUUUUGGCUAAUGUAGCCGCAGGCAGAAAAUUCUCUUGCUGCAUUCUUGAAAGAGUUUGUUUUUCUUCCCUUUCUCUUUAACCUUGUACAUUAAUUAUCACUCUGCCUUUUCCGAAUGGUAAAUUGGUCAAUUUAUAGGCAGAAAAGUGCAUAUUCAUGUACUUCAGAAACAGUGAGUGAAUGCAUGCUUUUUCUGCUGGCAUCACUGUACACAGAGUACUUUCCUACCCUGCCAGUUUUCCUCAAGAAUUUGUGCACUUUUAAAGUGUUAUCCUGAUGUCUGGGGACAGGAUUGUGUAUUUGGGGAUCUUUUUUUCAUUUAAAUUUUUGUUCAUAUAGUCUUCACUUUUGGUUAAUAAUAGCUUUGCUUUCUCUAGUGAAAACAUGGGGAGGUUAAUCAGUGCAUGCAGAUGCUCAAUGAAAAUUAAUGGGAGGAAAAGGUGCAUUUAAAUUUCCAGUUAAAAUCCCAUUUAAAAAUUAGCUACUUUUAGAAAUACUACAACUUUCAUGUAAAAGCAAGGGAAAAACAUAUAUCUUGGUACAAAGCCUCUGCAAGAGGGCAGUAAAAUCAGUCAGGAAUAACUGUUGCUGCCAGGAAUGGUUAUGCUAGGUGAGUGCUAGGGCACUGGACUGGGCAGCAUCUUACACUAAAUAGGUGUGGAUAAAAUACACUCUGAAUUAAUUGCUGAUUCACUAUGUUUACUAUUAAAUAUAUAAAAGAAAGAACAGUUUAGAAAACAAAAUGUUCCUGUACUACUCUUAAUAUUACAAGAACCUUCAGAUGCAAAAUUGAGAGUCUUACCAGAAUACCUUUUGGUUUCAAAGCAGGUUACAUGGGUUUUUCAACCCCAAGCUAGUUUUCAGUGUUCUGGAAACCAUUUGUCAUCCUCUGAGGAGGUAAACCAUGGAAAGAAAAAGAAAAGAGAUUGUAGGUAAUGUGCCAUGGCAGUAAUGUCUGAUCUACAUUGUAUGGUUCUGGAUUUUGGUGCCUACUGGUGGGAUAAAGUUUGAAAUGUGCUCUUGGGCUGUUCUUUUGAAAAGGAGGGAAAGAAAGAAGGGAAAAAAUUGAUUGGUCAUUGGCAACACACUAAAAUAGAUAACUCGGUGCCAAAUCUUAUUUUGAAACUCUGAAGGGAACAAAACCCUUUAGUUUUCUAUGUCAGUACAGUGGUAGUAAUGUUGCGAGUUGCUCUGAAGCAAUGUUGCAAAAAUACAUCUGAUUUAUUCUUUGAAGUACCUGGGGUUUGUGUUGUUGUUUGUACAACUUGCAUGUCCUGACAGCUGACUGUACUUGCCUCCUUUGGUCACGGUAACUGCUUCACAUUUCAAGUGAAGUUCUCUACCCUGCUGUUUUGAUAGAUGUUUACUAGGGCUGGCUGUUACAUAGGUAUUAAUUUCUUAUAUGACAAAAUGGGGAUUAUCACUUGUCUAGAGUAAGCUGUACUCACUGUUAUCACUAUAUUUCAAAGAAGUGUUUAACUUGAAUUCCAGAAAAGCAUGCAGCACUUAAUCUAAUUCUCUUGUUCGUCUUCUUGAGUUAUAUAUUCUGGGUAUAUUGAUUUUUUUUCUUUUUUUAAUAAAAGUAGUCACCAUGCAAAUUACUGGAAUACAGAAGUGAAUCUUGUACCUAUCUGUAUUUUAGGCCAGGAGAAAAAUUAUUAGCGCUGCUUAGAAAUGUUAACAAUUUCUUUUUUUUCUGAAAUUAAGUCUUGUUUAAACACUGAGUUUUUAUUUGCAAAAAGCUCUUACAGAUUUCAGACCUAUUUUGGCCAACUCUUGCUGAUUUUAGACUGAAUUUGGAAAUAAUUUCCAUUUUAUUGUUCACUCUUGUUAAAACAUAAAUAUUUUAAGAGGAACAUUUAUGAUCUUCACCCACAACUAGCUCCAAGGAUGGUAAUAAUUACAAUGUGUAGAAACACACACUUUGCACUGUACAUCUUCUUUACUUAAAGUAGAUCUGGUCACAGUGACAGCCUUGACAGCUGUUGUAAUUGUUCUAGGGAAGGUGUGGAGGAAAAGCUCCAAUGUCACCAGACAAGAAGAAAGAAACCCACAAGAGGGAAGAAGAUUGAGGAAAUCUGAUAUAUCUGACUUGAAGAUCACCAGUUUUUAAUUUUAGUCUCUUUUUCUGAUAUAAACUGCAUCCGAUUAUUAGUUUAGUUUGUGAGUAGAUACCUCCUUAGGGGUGGAUUUUGGCAUAAUAUUCCUGCUGUAUUAUAAAUACUGACAUCACGCUAAUCUAUGCAAAUCACUGCUCAAUCAAUUUGAGCAUCUGUGGUUGAUUAAACAAAACACGUAGGUGUGAAAGCAUUUGCAUCUCACAGGCUCUGCUGGAUCUGGCAAAGGCUGAGGGGAGUGUAAAGGCAUGGAGAGAGAUUUGUCACUGCAAUGCCUGCCUGGCAAUUUGGAGUUCUAAUUGCGACGGGCACAGAGAUACCUGCGUGGGCUGAGGCUCUGGAAGAAGAGGAGCUUCAGCCCAGCUGCUUGAAGAUGUGAAUCCAGCUCAGACUCAGACCUGAUUCUGUGACUGCAGUCAUGUUAAAGCUCAGAUCCAUGGGGCUGCAGCUUUCAAGGUUGUGCUGUGGUCACACCCGCGGCCAUCCCCGUAGAUCCCAAGCUUCCAGGGGUAGCUGGUCACCAGAGAAGCCUUGGGAUGGCCGAGCUCCUGCAGCUGGUGGAUGCUGAGGUUGGCAGCACUUGAGGGGAACCUCAGGCAAGUAGGAAGUGCCCUCAAGGUGUUCUGUAAGAGGCAGCAAGCACAGGGUACCUGGACUCUGCCAGUCCCUCAGACUUUUAUAUAAUCCAUGAGUGGCCACUCUUACAUUGCUUUUCCCCAAGUUUGUUUAUUCUCUCCUUCUGUUCCCUUCUAUGCCUGGGCCUGACCACAGAGAAUGGGGGUAAUGAAUAAUAGAGGAAACAGCUUGUGUUGGGUGAGGAGAGAAGGGGAGAAGUGGAUUUACUAAUAACUGAUCAGACGUAGUCAUAGUUUGGCUUUUGUUCACUACACAGUGGUAACGCUGCUUGUACAAGGAUGAAGAGAACCAAAUUGUUCUGUGUCAGUGGAUCUCUUUGUGAAUUAAGUCAGUGGCAUCAACUGUUGAGCAACAGAGAACCCCUCGUCACUGCUUGGGAGGUCCUCAGUGUCCGCUCUGCUGGGCCGGGAGCUUCCAGGAGAGCAGCUCCCAUGGGAGGGUUAUAAUCAGCUGACUUGCUGCACACCCACUGCCUCUUUGUGGAAGCACUUCUGUCUGUAUGAUGAGAAAUCACUAAGGAAUAAUUCACAGUACUCUGUUGACUCUGAAGUGAAGAAGUGUUCCUUAAAGUAAAUACACGACUUAAUCAAACUGAGAAAAAGUUAUUUAAAGGGACACUAUCCUGUGAAACAGCAUAUUUCCCAGGUCUGAGUCACAGAGAUCUAAGGUAGCCAAGUCAUAGCACAUUUUCACUUCUGGAGAGACAUCAGCUCUCUUCAAUAAUAGGAUAUUUAACUGAGUUUUACAGGUUUUGAGUUUGUCAGACUGAAGAAGUGGUGAGAGUGAAGAAUGAACUGCUUUUGGUCCACCAAGGAAAGCUGAGGUUGUGCACUGGGGCUGGCAGAGAGAGAUCUGGUGAUUCCCAGAAUGAUGAUGUUCGCCCGGGUGCGGUGUGCUGCUUUCUGAUAAUUUAGUGCUUUCAUAAGAAAUGUGUUUCCAAAACUAAAAGUCUGUUUGAGCUACAGUUCCCUUUAAAAUAAAAACUUGUUUUUAUUUUUUUUCCCCCAGUGAGAGCAGGUAAGUAUAACUCAGCUGUGUGCUUGCAUUCAGAACUGCAAUCCUCCUUCCAAACCUACAAUAGCAAUGUGAAAUUUUAGUAUCAAAAUUACAAAUUGUUCAAGAAAGGCAAGUGAAACGCUUACUGUACAAGAGCCUGAAGUAGCCUUAGUUAAAAUGGUCUAUUGUCUCUGAACUCUGGACUUCAGGUGAGGGAAGGCAUGCACUCUUGUCCUCUUGACUUUCUGUGGAUGAUGAUCUUGACAUUGCUUAUGCAAAAGUCUUGCUAACUUUCUGAUUUUCAUAUUUUCUCAUGGCAUAUGUUUAUUUUCCAUUGGAAGCCUGUCUGCUAGCAUCCUGAGAUUUCAGGAAGAUUUCAGCUCUUGCUUUUGAAGAGUGCAUUCCUAACAUUCCUGAAAAAUGCUUAGAAGCUGUAAGUGCUCAGAAAUUAGAAGGAAAUAAAAUGUUGAAGUCCAUUAUUUGUUUAAAAAAAGUCUGUUUUUAUGCCAAAUGUGGAAUUUUAUGGUAUCCGACUCAUAUUCUUGAGUAUUUGUUGUUGGCAGUACUUCAAUGGGUAGAACAUAUGGACACUGCUACUACGAGCUUGCCUGUCAUAAGUGUCUCAGCAGCAAAUACCUUUUAUGUCUUUGGUCCUCGGGUCAGGUAGAACUAUUGACUUCUUUGCUGUAACAGUCAGAGUGCCAGCUGGGCUGAUGGCUUUGUACUGUGGACACUUGUACAAUGCACAGAGAGGUGAGAUCUCAUGCAGGCUGUUCAAAAGCUAUCCACUCGCAACAAUUUUAACACUGUUCAAGCCGAUGCUGAUACAGGAUAUAUUUGGCUUUUCAUUUCCCUCUCCUAAUUCUUAUGAACAUUCAGUUCAUCACUUUUUUUUUUUUUUUAUUUAACAGCUAUAUGGCCAGACAUUUUCUUUGGCUGUGUGCAGAAUAAUUAAGGUCUGUCCAUCAUUUAUUUAACUUCAGCUUUAUUGUUCUUUAAAUAAGUUUCUCUACAUUUCCUUAUGGUUGCAGGUACUGACUGUCCCUGGCCACUGUACAGCUGUGAAGUUGCCAGAGAGAAUAAAUGGGCCAGUGUGUCCACAUCUGGCUGGUUUACAGUCCUGUUAUAGGGUCGCUUGUACUCUUCUUUCCUUGAUUUCCUUAUUCUCCUGAGACUGCUGUGCUGAGACUAUCAGUCUUUAAUGGAGGGAUUAUAAGAACUGAGAAUCACAUCUGAUAUGAGCACUGUCAGUUUGGGGAGGAUGAUAAAAUUUUCAUGUUGGCAGCCAAAACACUUGCACCCUUUUCUUCUGCUUUGUGACCAGGACAGUUGCAUAAAUGUGUUCAUGUGUUUAUGUACCCCCUUCUUCCACAUAUGUAAGUGAACAAUGGCAUUUUGUUUAAUCAUAUUGUUCUGCAUUAUUCAUCCAUUACUUAACAGCUCUUGCACACAGAUAUGAUGGCUUUUUGUCCUCCUCUUCCUUGUAUAGCUAGCUCUGCCUUAAUUUGGAAAAAUGACAUAGGUGAAAAUGUCAUGAUGUGCCUUCCUGAUGCCUCUCCCAACGCCUCUCCCAAAUCUUACUGACAGAUAUAUGGUGUAAGCUCUGCUUCUUCAUUUAGUAUGGAUCAUGUUGGCAGAGAGAUCAAAGAGAAGGAAUCUUGGGAGAUGCCAAACAAUUUUUAACUGGCUUCUUACAAAAGCCAAGGGUGUUAUUUAUUAUAUAUGCAUAAGAAUAAAAUACUUUUUGUUCCACCUUUCAUCACAUCCUUCAGUCCUCCUGUGUCACGGCAGAAAAUUCUCGAGUUUAUCGGGUUGCCAUGAAACAUGUUUGUGAAUAUCUUUUAAUAUAUAUUUUAUUAAACAUUACCUUUUUUCUUUUCCUUAGUUAAGCAAAUACUUUAUCAUCCCGUCCUAGUCCCUCUGCCAAAAACCUUUAUAGCGGUUCCCUCUGGUGACCAAGCCAGCUUGAUCAAUUCCUCAUUGCUGCCGAGCUCCACUAACAGGGCACUUACAACUACAGCUUUUUUUUUUUUUUUUUUUUUUUUUUAAAUUUUAUGGCCUGUCUCAAAUGAUAUUUGCCUUGCUUUGCACAAGCUCCAGAGGAUACUUUUCAGAAUCCUAUUUAGAUUUGAGUUUUUGGGUAGAAUCUAUAAAUUUGUUAAGGUAUGCAAAAUUAUAUUUUCUGUUGGUAGUCCAGCUGCACCUGUUUGAGCACAGGCUGGCUCAUGUCAGACCACUGGAUCAGGAUGGUCAAACAAUGCCCAGACGAAAGUCAAAGGGAUGCCCAAGUGUUUUCAACUAAGAGAUCAACUUUGUUAUAUUUUUUUCUUGUUUGCUGUCUACCAGAGAACAAAUUUGCAGUAGCUAGGAAUAUUGGCUGUGGUGUUUUGUGUUUUUGUCUGUCUGUGUUUUGAGUCAAAGGACAACAGAACUUGGGAUGUGAACUCCAACCAAUUCCUGAUGUCUAACAGAUGCUCUUCUACCCCAGUUUUGCCUUAAGAGUUAUUAAGAUGCCAGAUUCUCUUGGAACUCCAGUAAAAGAUGGUAUUUUAGCUUGUAUAGCAAAGGUAUUAUUGUGACCUCAACCAAACCCGUAUGUUACUUCCAGUGCAUUCUUGUAUUAGAGUUCAACAUGUCAUUGAUUUAGGCUAUGUUAUUUUCCAGAGAACAAAAUGCCAUUUGUUAUUGCCAGGAAGCAUUGAAAAAGUGUAUGGGGUAUAGAAGGUGUUUUAUAUAAAACUGUUUUAUAUAUAACCUGCUUAACGUGUAGUUUCCUUGUCCUUUAUUACCCCUCUUUUCUUUUUUUUCCUUUGCUCUGUGUUUAUUUUUUAGGCAGAUUCUGCUUUUUAUUUGCAGAAGUAACUGAGGAAUAUUGAUUCUUGUCUAUGUUGGCAUGACAGUUCAACCUCUUGGAAAUAUCACUGAAGUAAGAAAUUAAAUCCAAGCAGUUAGAUUCUUACUCUCUUCAUCCUCCACUGAGUGCUUUAAGAGCCCAGACUUUUUAUAUAAGCAGCUGAGGGGAGGCAGAGUCGCAUUGUUGUUCCCCUGUAGCUUCCAGAUGGUGAGGAAAGUCCCAGGAAAAAUGUAGGACCAGCAUGUUCUGUCAAAGUCAAGCUUGUGUCUAGACAGGGAAGCUUAUGUAAGGCAGCAGGAGAGGAAGGGGCCUUGUGUAACUGCUGUCCCUGGCAAAUAAACACUCCCUACAGUACCACUCAUGAUUUGGCCCAUAGAGGCUGACAGCAAAAUGCAAUUUGGUGCUUUUUUGUACUUAGCUUGCUCGGACUUGCAGCUGGAGGUCGUUCCCUUGCUUUGGCGUUUUUUUUUCAAAUGCAUGCCUAUCUUCCAAUUAUUACAAUCUUACUAAAGGCUUUACUCUUCCCCCUUAAGCUGAACCACUUUUCCAAAGAACCCAUAUACACCUGCUCAGCUAAUUUAAAACAGAUAUAGCAAGUUACCAAUUUUAAAUGGCCUUGAGAGGUUGUUGAUGGCAUUUGGCAGACAAUGCAGACAAUAUGCAAAUCACCAGAGGCGGCAUGGAGUCUUGUUCAUGAAGAUAAAUUCUGCCGUAAGGUAGCUUUCUAGUUUGACUUUGAAAAAGUAUGAUGUAAAAUUAAGCUUGUAGUAUUCUAUUAAAUGCUUCAGUCAGUGUAUCUCAGUACCUUAUGGGGACCUCUGGCACCCCUCUAGUGCUCAACUUACCCUGCACCUACAUUUUGUUUUGAUUUUCCUCCAGCUGAAUGCAAAUCUCUGCCAGUGAGUGCUUUCUGGUUUACUCACCCUCUCAUAACAAUUCUCUCUUGAUUUUGGAGCUAUUGUUAAAGGUGCUCUGUGUGUUUAUUUCUGCCAUAAAAAUGUGAAUACCAGGAGGAAAUGUUUUUUCCUUUUGAUUUGGAUACAACCUUUUCGGCACUCCAUGUUCUGGCUUAGCUUGGUUUCUCGGGUGUUACCCUUAGCUUUGCUCUUAUCUAAGCGCUAAAUUUUCUCAAUGUAGCUUGUUGGUGCUUUGUCCUCAGGCAGACUGAUUUCUUGGAGGCAGGAUCGAGAGCCAAGAGCUCGGCUCCUUCUGUUCACCGAGGCCGUUAUUACAGCCACCUUGCAGUGAGGACACAGGCCAAGUAACUUGAGGGUCAGUAAUCCUCCAAAGCCUUCCCACCAUUUUGGCUCCCUACUUUGAAUGCCCAUUAGCACAGACAGGUUUCUCCUGAAAAGGCAUCUUUGGGAAGGUCGGCUUAUGGAGAUGCGUGCAGUGGUGGGAUGUGUGGGUUGUGUUAAUGUGAGAGAGAAAGUAGUGACUGGAGUUUGGCUGUUCACGGGUGUUGUCUGCACCUGGGAGAAAGUCCUUCAGCAGUAUUUGAAUAUGGUUUCCAAACCCUGAAGUAGGUCUGAGUGAUGGUUUGCCCUUUAAUAAUAUGACUUUUUUUCCUUUCCUCAUUGAAUGUAGCUUUGGUCCCUCCAUUUUUUUCCCUUACUAGAGCAUGUCAUGUAGUUAAUCUCUUCAUAACUUCAAUUUUGAAAACAAUUUAAUACAGUUUUGUGGCCUUUCUGACACCUAGCUCUUUUUCCUAGACAGACUAGAUAUUUAGUUCCACUCCUUUUAUUACAAACUCAAGGAAAAUAUUACUUUCUGGAGGAAAAGAAAAUGGGUACUUUUUCCUUGCGAAAAGAAAUUUGUAUCGUGGCUCAGAUUUAUUGAAUAAUUUUUUUUGGCUCCAUACUGAAAGCAGAAGCCUGGCUAAAUUAUUUUUAUGCUCUCAGGUAGAGCAUUAAUUGCUCUAUGAUGCUGCAUACUCCACUUCAGAGUAAUGUUCUUUCCAAGUUCCUGAAGAAUUAUUUCUUAAAGCUACAGAAUGAUUUUUAAAUGGCCUUUAUCUUGGUGUGUCUCUUUUUCUCUCUCCUUUUUUUCCCCCCUUCUCCAUUAACCACUUGAAAUAGUUGACAGUUUUUGAAACUUUAUUUAAAAUGAAGUUGCAGACAUCUCUGUGAAGAGUAAAACUACUGGCUUGGUCAGAGGGGAAUACUAACUGUGCCAAGACUCACCCAUGACUCUACAGGUGAAGUUACCUUCUUGAAGUAUUUACUGCCCUUGUGAGGGAGUCAGCUGCAGAAGGACAAUUACUCUUUUCCACAUAUAUAUUCUGGGAAUGGGAGCAUACCAUUUGGAAAAGAAAAUGUUAACUUAUCUCAAUGUCUCUAAACUUCAGAUUAGUGCUCAGAAGCACAUGUGUAGAGCAGAGCUGCUCCCUUUGCCACCUUGGCUGGGGAAAUUAUGGUUAUGAUGCAUGCCCAAAUAUUUCUUUCCUGCACUGAGGUCUAAGAGUGAAAUAACUGUGAAAGGUUAUGCCAAUGUUUCCUGAUCUGGUAAUACCCCGCUCCUUUGGGAGGACUAGAGGGCUGUGCCAGCCAUAGAGAAGGGAAGUAAUAGUGAUGACUUGGUGUAUUGUCUUAAAUUAAAUUAAUGUGUGUUCAGAGACUGAUGUAUUGCACUGAGUCAGAUCAGUGACUCCUAGGCACAGUUAGUUUCGUUUGGAGAGGGGCAGGGGGCUACUAGGAAUAACCCUGGCUUAAGCAGAGAGGAAUGUAAGGAACAUUCUACCUCAUGCACUUUUUUCUUUUGGUGAGUUUGCUUUUUGAGUAGUACUCUUGUUCUUUUGAUCAUGUCCUUGAGCACCUUCCCCUUGUGCACGCCUUUCUGCCCCAUUGCCUUCCAAAUAGUUCCUGUGACAGCAGAUACCCAGACUGAAAAUGUUUGCCAUAAUUCAUAAGUCAAAGUACUUUCAAUCCCAGAAUAGAGGAGACUGCAUGCAGACUUCAUUACACAGUAUUCAUAACAUAAACAAGCCUGCAAUUAUGUCAUAGCAACAAGCACUGUGCUUACAUGAAAGUUGGAUUCAGGUCUCCAAGAGUGGAAGACCUUUGCGUCCAAAAUAUCACAGCGACCUACUUCUCUGAAAGAGUGCCCUACAUAAUUUCAGAAAUUAGAUAUGACACCAAUAUAGUAGGCCAUAUGGUGCUUUUUGCUGGUGUAGGGUGAACAGUGGGAUAUUCUUGGGGCCCCACAAACGUCUGUCCACUCACUAGGUGAAGUCAGCUCAUUAUUAGUUGGGGUGAGGUGUGACGUUUGUUUUCCUGAUGUUGUGAGGCAACAAAUUCAAACUGCCAAUUGUUUUAAAAAGGCAUUUUCUAAUAAUAUGGGUAUGAUCCUAAAAAGUUUUAACCUUUUUUUUUUUGGACCAGUACUGUCUGCCUUUAGUUGCUGCUGAGAACCUGAGAGUCUGCACCUAAAAUUAUUUAGACAGCUCAGAACCUACUUCUCAAUAAUUUGUAGGGAGACCGUUUCCCAAGGGCAGUUAGACAUAUUAUCUGAUCUGAUCCUGAGCUGCCAGAGCAGGAUUAUUUAUUUUUUUUGGUGGUGCUUCCCCAGACUGGCUGUAGAAGUUGUUAGGUGUGUGUGAUGUGUGCUGCUGGUGUCCCACCUACCAACGGGGAUGCAGCAGGUGGGGGUGAUGGUAGGGCCAUUCCUGAGGGCAUGGAAAAGGACGGUGAGAGGAGCUGGCAGAGGACAAGCUGCAAACUCUGCUCCUUGUUGGCAGUGGAGCUACCUCUAAAUUUCAGUUGUCAACACAUUGAGAUGGCAGAGGAGGUUUCAGGACAAAACGGUACCUUAUUUAGAAAUUGGGAGGUUUUGUGAUCUGGACUUUUCAAGCAUCUGGUCCAUGCUGGAUGGUUUUGUCUAUGACAGUAACUUACUGAAUUGCUGUGAAGUAAUAUCUCUUCCUGGCAUGGCAUUCACUUGUUAUUUACUUAUUUACAUACAAGCAUCAUCAUAGAAAUUGUAUUUGCAACUGAAAAAUAAAAAAGAAUACCAAGCAAUCUUGUUUCAGCCCUUUCUCCAUAGUUUCUGUAUGUUUUUUCCUCUUCCUUUGAUGGGUUUUUUUUCUUUUCUCUUUAUUAUUAAAAAUAAUAUCUUUGGAGUCUGUGCAAAGUGAGCUUUUCUGCAGUGCUCAUUCUGACAGCAGAGUUGUUUUUCUGAGGACUGCCCACACUUCAGGUGUCUGCUGCAUAGGUUUUCUGUGUAAUAACUCUGGUGCCAAUCUGUCGACCUCGGCUAACCCACCUAAUAAAGUUCCUGCUGAAAAGAAGCAGCGCUGCUGUGGGUACACUGAGGCAGCUCAGGCGAUGCCACUUGGCCUGUGCACAGGGCAAGGCUUUAAAAGCAAAGCACAAUGCAUGGGCCACGAAGUGUGCUGUGGGGGUGUCUAGAGUUCCUCCCAAAGGGGGCUGAGCAGGCAUGGCAGGCUCCUUCACACUUCCCUCCUGCCAGCAUGUGCGAGCACUGCAGGUGGUUAUCGCUGCAGACACGCUGGCAUCCCUUACAGCUUGGUGUGUGUGUUUAUUAGGUGGCAUCCAUGGGGAUAAUCUCAUUUUGGCUUUUAACCGUAAGGUAAAUGUUCGGUGACCUUGGGGCAGUCUGUGCUCACACAGCACUGUGCGCUGUCAGCUACUUGAUACUGGCGGUGAUGGAGCUCCUGGCAGAGGCCCUGAGGUGGGAGCCCUCAUUGUCUGGGGGCUGCCGUGUUUGCUGACAGACAGGAGUAUCUUUGCCUGCUGCCAGCACAGGAGGCACCUGCUGAUUGGAAACUUCUUUUAUCACAAUGUUUAAUUUGCUGUCUCACAGCUUUUGGAAGGAGAAGUCUUUCAUCUCUCGAGUUUGGAAAGGAGUGAUAUGAUUAUAUUAAGCAGAUGAUGCCUAUCUGCAGCUGAAAGGGGUUUGGUUUGGUUUGGUUUGGUUUGGUGGGUUUUUUUAAGAUGGCAGUUACAGUAAAGUGCAGUGCAAGCGGCUGAACUGCAGACAUGAGAUGAGUCAGAUCUGGAUAAUUGCACUCCUUAGAGCGUGCCUGGGCUGUCCUGAAGGUUCCCUCUCUAGAGAUGUCUGGUUUUGCUCCUUGCUCCUCUCUGGACCAGCAAGAGAGGCUGAAUAACUCUGGUGCAGCUGUAAUGAGUAGCACUGUAGGGUGGACUGGUUUGGGUUGGUUUUUUGGUUUUGAGGGAAAGCUGCUGUUUGCCCUGAUGGAGCUUCCUUAGGCUUGAAACCAGCAUAAACGCUAUAGGACAAAUAGCACCUAAGAUGUUCCUGCUGCAGUGUUCAACCAGAAUCUGUGAUGGUGGUGAUUGCCAGCAGAUGUCUACUAUGCAUAAAACUUUAGCCCCUGCACUGAUCUGACGUAGAUUUUUAUUAUAUUUUAUAGGAAGGUGGCAUGCUUAUGCCAUUUUGCAAAUACUGUGGUCCUUUUAGACUUGUAUCUAUUUGUUGUGUCAUAAAAUACAUGCCCUAAAACUAGUGCCAGAACACUGAACUCUCUUUGAAGAAUGUUUUAGGGGUGGACAUAUAAUUUGAGCUGAUAACCAUGGAUGGUUGUGAUGAUUAAAAUACCCCUGAAGGUUAGAAUCUGUCUCAUUGAUUAUACUGGGUAGUGUUCCUGGGUGGCAAUGCCAGUUCAAAUGGCAUUUGGACACAAAUGUUUCUUCCCUUAGUGUUGUAUAAGCAGUGCUGUUUUAAAAAGAGGUGGUUAUGUGAAUUGUUGGGUUUUGUUUUUCUUUGAUACAAGUGAGUUUGUUUUCUCUGUGCUUUGUAUUGUGUCUGGAAUUCAAACUAGAGUAGGAAAAUAAUAAAAGGUCAAUGACUUUCAAGCAAAGAAGAAAGGACUGCUGAAUUUUGAGUGUGGUGGGUUUACUUGGGGUUUUGAUAUUCUUUUAAACUGAAACACCAACUUCUCUUACCUAUUUCCCUUCUCUGAUUCAGGAGGGGAGUACUUCACCCUCCAGCAAAUAUAUAUAUGUACCCAAAGUCCCCUGGGUCCUAAGGGGUUGUUACCUAUUCCAUUUUCUCUUUGCUGUUGCUGGAGGAAAUGAAGUGAUUUGGCUGGCCAACCACUCCUUGUUUUUAGUAUUUCCACAGCUGCUGGCCAGCUACUUCAGGUUUUUAAGGUUAAUUUGACUUCACUCUUCAAGACAACUGGCAGGAAUGUGGGAAGGGUGUGGGAUGUGGCAAGCAAGUCUGCCAGCUUUCUUAAAGCUGCAAUAACAAAACCCAGUAUAAUCUUGAAGGUCAUAUUGCAGCUUUUCCUCUGCUGUCGUCCAGGAAGGUUUUGGGGGCCUAAGGGAGUGAAAUGUCUCACAGAGAUUUUUUCUAAUUAAUGAGAACACUGUUGUGAGGAAAUCAAUUUUAUUUUAAGGUUGUUCUGCGUUUAUGAGUUUCGUUAAUAUGGUGUCAUCAUAUGAAUAAUGUAUAGACGUAGCACAUUGUUUAUGACCACCUGUGCACGUGGGUCUGUAAAUAAUAAAAGGAGAGAAUAAAUGGAGAGAAUCUCUCAGACAUGCAGUAGGAGAAUGCAGUUCAUUAAGAAGUCACUGGGGACAAGUAGCUUUGUGCUUCAAAGUAGCCAAGAUAGUUGCAUAGACACAGUGAGGUUUAGUAUUAAUUAAAUGGAAAGUAAGAGUUAUAGAUGGUAGAAAAGAAUGGGUUUGGUGCCCUUUGCUCAUGGAGAAGCCAUUUUAUCAGACCCACAGAGUUUAGAGCCUGAAGGACUACAUUAGAUUGACUAGUUUGAGGAUGUAAGAGGCUGUGGAAUUCCAUGUAUGUGGUGUUCAUAAUAUAGACACCAGAGGUGUUACUUGGAAUAAAUUGUCACAUGCCACAUUCAGAAAAGAAGUCAGAACAGAGAUCACAUCAAAACUUUCAUAUGCCCAUCUGGAUAAGCUGAGAUACAGGCUUGAACCGAGUGAUUCAAAGACUUGGCUAAAAAGGAAGCAAAUGCGUCAUUAGACUGCUACAGGAAAAUUCCUGUAGCGUUCCAGAUCUGGGAGGUGCUGCCAACACAACCAGGUACAGCCAUAACACCCGCGAGAUAAAGCACCGGAGAAGUAAAAUGAUCUGUGUUACUGUGGAAUAUCGUUCCAUCCUAUCCAGUAACUUGCUGUGGCAUAGCACUUUGGUCUAAUGUGCAGAAGAAAAUAAAACUGGGAUGGACUCCUGCCUGGUGGCCAAAGGUCUGAACUGUGUCACUGUUGCCUUAUGCAGAGCAGUGGGUAUUAGUAGCAGCUGCCUGUGGUACUGUUAAUUAUCUGCCUUUGGUUUCAUACAGUAAGAGGUUCAAUUGGGGGGGAUUCACGGGUUCAAGGGGCAGAACUGAUCACUGUAAUUAUUCAGCUUGACCUUCCCUGUUAGACAUUUAGUUGUUCAUAUAAGUUAGUGGAAAGCCUAUUUUUUAGAGAGAAAUACAAUAUUCAAGACUCCACAUGAUGGUCAGUACCAUGUGGCAACCUUUCCAGGUUUUAAUUACCCACCCUACUAGAGAAUUCAUUUGUAAGUCAUGAUAAUUUAUUCUAGAUAAUAAAGCCAUUGGGGGUAUCUGUCCUUUUAGUAAGUGUUUUUACAGUGUGUGGUACAAAAGAAUCUCUGAUGGGAGCCUUGUUGUCCCCAGAAUGCACAAAUAACUUGUUAAAUGGGGAAAAGCAAACUGUGUUUCUCUUCAUUUGGAUAGUCUUAAAGAAUAUAAGAUUGGGGAGUUAGGUUCCUUGGUGCAGUGAUUUCUUUUUCUUCCCUUGUAUUUCCUCUCCUUAUCUUAUAGGCUAUAUGGUGAUAUUUUCAGUGAGGGAUUGAGCAUUGUUUUUCACUUCUGCUGUUUUCUGGGGCUGGCACUAAAAGUGUUCCCCUUUUUCAGUUUGUCAACUGCAUUGACAAAUUACCCUUUGGCAAAGAAUACAGCAUGGUAAUUUUGGAGUAUAACUUUUCUAUCAGUCUGGCUUCCUUUAUUUCUGCCAAGGGUAUUGCUGGGAAACUCAGAGAUAUGGCUAUGUAUUUUUGUAAAAAUGCUAAUAAGAAUGUUGAUCCUUGCAAAAAAAAAAAAAAAAAAAAAUUUCCUGGUCAGGCAAAGGAAUAGUUAAAGUCUGGAGGAAGUAUGCAGCACGACUGCAAUGACUGCAUGUUUGUCUGAUUUGGGGCUGCUGAAAUAUUAUCUCAUAUAGAUUGGGACUAAGAAGGUGUUAGGCUUUUUGAAUCAGCUGCCAGUGGCUCUAACAGGCUCUUGGAAAGCCAAGGAUUAGUCAGAUGGAGGAAUGUCUUGGCCAAAACUCUUUUUUCUCUGGCUAAACCCACUCCCUUGGCAGCGAUGCAUUGUAUUCUUAUAAAAGCUGCUGUGGAAGCUUGAGGCCAGUGCAAGAUUUUGUUAUGAAUAUUGGAUCCUCCUGGGACUAGUUAAAGUAGAUGGAGAGCUCCUUUUUUCUCUGGAAUAUAACGGUGAAUAUGGGCCAUUUCUAGGACAUUCUGUUUCUUUUAUGAACCUGCUUCUCCAGAUUCCCCUUUUUGUUUAUCCAAUCAGUACAAAUGACUUCUUGACAAGGUUCCCAAUUCUUGACAAGGUAAGUGGUUUUGUCUGUCAUGCAUAUAGCAAAGGACUGAUGGCUCCAAACAAUAGACAUGUUGUUCCCAUCUCAAGAUGUCAAGUGCAAGCGUCUUUCAGCUGUGAUUACUGGCAUGCUGUCUUUGGUUCCAUCUGAGAUCUCUUAAUCUUUCCUACAGUUGGGAGGACAGCUUGCAACAAAACAUUACCUAGCAACUAAAAUGCCUCAGGUCGGUUUGGGGAAAGCAACAGAAGAGUUGUUAUUAAUCAUGCUGAGAUGAUGCAUUGUGGUUUAAAAAAAAUGGAAAGGAAAGGCCAAAUUAAAUAUUGACAUUUAGUAUAUUCCAACUGUGUUAGCUUUCACUUUGGCUAACAUGAGAAUGUAUACUCGGUGAAAAUGGGAAAUAAAAACACCUGUCUGUGUUCUCCUGGAUAUAACAAAGUGAAAUAAACCCCCCAAACAACAGUGAUCUGUUGUUUGGGGAUGUUGCAGGUGUAGCCUUCAGAAUCUGAGAGACUGAAGAGACUUCCGUUCUAGUCCUAAGGGCUACAGCAGUUUGAUUGUCAAGAAUAAAGGGAAGAUUGUUGUCAGUGGAAACCAUUUUAUUUUAAAUUAAAACUUUGAUGAACUCGCCAUGUUGAAAAAUGGUUUUAACAAACAUAUCGUAGUAGUGAAAGACCUGAGACUUAGCAGCAGCCUACAAUGUGCUCUAUUUAAAGAGUAAAUUUUGGUGCAUUUCCACCUGAUGAAAGCCUGACUGCACUUUAGCCAUCUCAGCUCAGCGGCAAUAGCUUCACAAGUCUAUGUUAGACCUCAGCACAACAGAUCUCUGUGGUCCUCCUGUCAUACGCUGAGUGCCACUAAAGAUUCUAGAGAAGGGCUGGUAUCAUGAGCUGUUAUGGAAAAUAGGAGUGUAAAAUGUGAUAGUCUAUAACCGUGUAGGAAAUAAAUGUGGUCAGCAAUAAGGUAUUUUGAUGUUAAACCACACUGUUCUGGAACAGUUGGGGAACUUUCCACUUGGCGCUUUCUCUCAGAGGUGGCAAUUUGGAGCCGAUCCGUGCGCUGCGGCGUGGGUAGUGUGAGCAAACAGUGUCACGAGUGGGCACGAGUGGGUGGUUGAAAGCAUCAUUCACAUUUUUUCUCCAUAUGAUCUUCUCUGAGCUGAAAUGGUGCCAAAUCAGUCGGUAUGGUUCUACUGAAGCCAUUAUUUUCCUGGUGGUAACUCGUCACUGUGCCCAUCCUUUCCUGCAUGUGCUACCUGCAGGCAGUGGGCAAGGGGAGCACACAGAUCUGUGGAAGGACAAGAGGAAUCGCAGAAAGGGCUAAAAUAAUCUAGUAUUCAUUUCUAUCACACCUUUAAAGUUAAUUCAUUAGUUGAAAGAUAAUUAAUUUGAGGUAUAGCUGUCAAUGGCCUUUUGAAAAUUAGAGCUCUAUGCUAACAAAAAAUUACUAUUUGUUUUUUUACUGGUUUAAGAAAACAAAUGUCUUGUCUCCAUCAGCCUAAUGAACAACUUUAGGUUUGCUACUUCCCAUGAAUUAAUUUGUUCACCUUCUGUUUACCGCCAGGUUUUACUGCCUGUGUGUGCAAACCUGAAGCCUUUAAGCAGAACAAAAAGAAAAAUUAUUCCCCGUAGAUUAAAGAUUGCUUGGAGAUGAUACAGGCUUGUGUAAAGUUUUGGAGUGAUGCAUACAAUGUUCUUGUCAGGGUUCUUUUAAGCUGUUGCUGUAUCCUUGUAAGUGGUUGAAAAAUGUCUUUCCUCUGGUAAUAGCCAUAGUUUGUAGGUAAUGGCUUGUCAGAAACACUGAUGGUUCAUAAAGAUUAGCUAUGUGAAAAUGUUUGCAAUGCUUUUUCUUGCUUGUCUGCUACCCUGAGGGUACAACAGAGGAACACAAAAGAGGGGCUGGGGAGGAAGCAAUCAAGGUAUUUUUUUAAGAAGUGAUAAAUUGUAAUUCGGAAAGUCCUGGAAAUCCACAUGAUAGAGACAUGUGAAGAAGCCUUCUCAAAUUUGAAUCUUGCUCUAGUUCAGGGCUGUCUCAGAGAAAUCCCCUCACAAGUUUUUCAUCAAAGAUAUGUGGUGAUAGAUCAGGUGUAGUAGGAUUUUUAAGAAGGGUAGAAAACUAGUUGCAUUGCUUUCACAAAACCUCAACAUUAAACAAAAUGUGUGGUUUUAUGUGAAGGAAGUAAUUAGGAAAUAUCUUGUGUUUGGUAUUGCCGCAAAGUUAGUUAACAAAUUAAGAAACAAUUUGAAUUUUGGACUUUUUGUGCUAUUAUCACUGGGAAUUGAAUGGUGUAUUGAUGCUCUGAAAGGCAACAGGCCAAUCUCAAUACAAGUUUUUUCAUGGAUCUCUGGACUUCUAUGUAGUCUGAACUGGUGCAAAAUUGAUCUUGAAGAUGGACUGAGAAGCUAAACUGCACAGGAGUGUGAACCACAGAAAAGAUGAGGCAUAAGCGUGCUGUGAAAAAGAGUUUACAGCUAAUUCAAUCUUGUAAAAAAUUUCUGCCACACUUGGUAAAUAAUUUUUUUAGGGAAGUAUUCCAGUAUUUCAAUUUUUAAGUUGUCAAAACAUUUCAUUUCAGAAUUUUUAAAGUUUUAAAUUUCACAUAUUUUUUUACAAGACAACAUAUGUUGGAAAAGAUUUAAAUACUGAAUAACAAAAGAGCUUUUCUUUGUUUGUUAUUUACUUAAUUCACUAUCUUCAGCUGCCUGAUUUCUGUUUGAGUUGAAGGGAGCUGACUAUUUGUUUUUUGUAGUCUCAUGGGUAUGAUGCACAGUUAGAACAUGGCAAAUAAAAAGCUUCUCAGGAAAGAUCCAUCCACCUGAUCUUCAGUAAUUUUGAUUUAGGAAAGCCAUGUUAGAGGCUCUUUUAUUUCCUCUUCUUCUAUCUUCUUCCCGCUUUGCUACUGUAACAGGUUGGGGGAGGAAGGAAGUUUGGCAGCCAGCAGGAAUAAGAGUACUUGUCACCACUUUUAGGGGGUUUGAGAGAAUUUCUUAGGCAGAUUGGAGGGGAGAGUGUAAAGUUCACAUCAGCCUAGAGGUAUGUGUGAGAUUUGUUGAGUGACUUUGCUGGUCGAUGCCCUUAGUGUACACCCUGUAGUCAAAAUUCUCUUGUUUCUAGUUUGGUGUUUUGGUUUGUUUUUUUUUUUUUUGUGUUUGUUUUUUUGGUUUUUUUUGGUUUUUUUUUACUAAAUUCUCAUGUUCCUGUUGUAUCUGUCAUACCUCCUUUUCCAGUUAUCAAAACCUUUGCUCAAAGUUGCCUGAUACCUAUCUUCCAGCUGUGGAGCUCUGCUGUGAGUUCCUAUGCAGUGCCAAAGAAGAGAACCUUUUAUUUUUCCUACAUCCUAAAGGUACCCUGCUGUCUGCCACCUCAUCUGACUGUCACAGCUGCCCCAGUGAUCACAGAGACCUGGCCGUGGCUUUCCUGCUCUGGCUGCUUGCACCCACAAAGUGUCAUGGAGAAUGGGGCAUGCCCACCAGUCUGUCCCUGCUCCCUUUCUUUGGCUUGGCAGGACACCCUGGAGCAGGGUUUUGUCUCAAACUUGGCCUGUUCAGUGCAGUGUUAACUCUCUGCAGAGCUGAGUUCUGCCUGGGACACUCCUUUUUCCAACUCUUUCUCCUGUUUUUUACAUAGCUAUCAUUUUAUUAAAUAAGUUCAGAAACACUCAUAGGAACAUGGUCUUCUUGUUGGCAUAACUAUGAAAAUUUAUUGAGCCUGGGCAUCCUUGGAAAGGCCAAGUGUUGCAACAGGAAUCUUGUCAGAGUUGUGUCUUCUUUUUAUCCUGUCAUGGGAGUUUGUCUCAAGCGUAGGAACUGAAAGUGGGUAAGUCUCUGCUAAGAACCUCUCAAGGGAGCUUUCAGACAGAAGGAGAGAAUGAGGGACUUAAGGGCAUAAAACUGAGGUAUCAUCAACCUGUCAGGGUACUGGCACUCAAAAGCAGCUUUCCUUGAUUACUGUCUAUCAGUGACAUCAUGUCUUAAAACUGGAAUUGCUGAAAAUAAUUCCACCCUUUAAAAUGAAAUUGUCCCUUAUAAACAUGCUACCUUGAGGGACCUAGAGAUGAGAACCUGUUUUGUUGGGUUUUUGGCAGCAAAUAGAAGCAGGCGAGGACGUGUGUUAGCACUUUGGUGUACAGUGCAAUCUGGUAAUGUCCAAAACUUGGAUACCAUUACUGUUUUGCAGCCAGCACAUCCAGCCUUUCUCUAAACAGACACAUUCUUCUGCUACAAAAUAUUGAAAAUUUAUUUAAAUGUGUCACCUGUCAAAUCUGUGCUGGUCUUUUUUUGCCAGAGCAUGGCCUCGGUUGAAUAUGAGAUAUGAAAACAUAUUCCUAUCAGGAAAAGCAGUGUGCAGGGCACAUGUAUUACCUUUGUCUUGUCAGCUCAACUAGCUAAGGCUUGGUGGGCAGAGUGUUGGUUCCAGUACCACCAAGCCUGCAGAUUUUAUUUUAUGCUUCAUAGUGAGGGGAGAUGUUUUCCCUUUCAAGCUAGAUUUCUGUGCCUGCCCAUCCCUAAUAUUGAAAAUGGGCUUCUUUCUUCAUGCUCUGGCUUGUAGUCAGCUUGAGAAUAGUCACCACAUUCUUGCCAAACAGAGUCACAUUUCUUUCUAGUUCUGAAAAAGGGCCCUGGUUCAUUCUCUGUCUCGGGUUUGUCAAACAUCUCUGGUAUCCAGUGCACGUGAGAGGAAAGAACACAUGCCUUGCCUUGGUCAGACAGUUUUUAUAAGUUUCCUCCAUUUCAGUUCUUGCUGUUUGCCAAAAAGAGUUGUCUGGAGGAAACGGUGACACUUUCUGCCUCUCCUCUUCAUGUAGUUUUUAGCCUUCCUUGACAUAAAAUGUUCCUGUUGUGUUUUUGAAUUGCUGGUAGUGAUGAACCAGAAACAAAUUUGUAAUAGAAAUGUGAUGCCUGAGCAGUUUCUUCAGCAGAAGCUACAAAGAACUUGUUUGAAAUACAUGUAUAUAGUAAAAGUGAGUAAGUCUGUAUUGUAUCUGCCCUAGAUUGGCUGAACCCCACAGAAGCAAGUAUAUUACUUUCAUCUGGUAGGGCAUGUAUUUUAAAUUAAAUCUGGUGCAAGGAGUGGUUAUGGUGGAAACAAAUGGAACAACAUGGUUUGAAAAGAGGACAUGUUCUGAAGCACAAUGGAGUGGAGGGAAGAACUGGAGUGCUGUUUUCAGUGUGUGGAUGCUGAUCACAAGUGGUAACAGAUUUUAAUCUGAAAUACUUGUCUAUAUACAGGUAUCAAAGGUAAAAGAAUGAGACCCUUAUCCUCGCCCUCUUUGAUGUUAUAUGAUUUAAAAUAUGUGCUGACAUUCAAGACAUGAAAGGUAGGACAAGGAAAAAAUGUAGUUUUAAUGCAAAAAGUUUGCUAGCAGUUUUCAAAUAUUUUGGUCAGUUUUAAUACUGAGAAGAUUGUUUUAAACACAGUAAACUUCUGAACAGAAGAAAAUAACCACGUUUGAUUUUACACAAAAUUCAUAUAAUUGUCCACAGCAAGUAAUAGAAGUAUAAAUUAGUGUUUUGAAAGGUGGAAUGCAAACAUCUGCAUGGUGGGUCUGAACUGGGGACUUGCAGGUGGGUUCUGACCAGGGAACUGGUCACAAUGUGAGUGUGUCCCACAGAUGGGGCUGAGAGACCUCCUCAGAGGAGAGGGGGUGUUCCACCUGAACUCCAAGCUGUCUCAGUCUCUGCAGACUGGAACAAGUUUGCAUGAAACUGUCUUGGAGUGUGAUAGCUUCAAAAGUGUGAUUGUACCCAUUAUGCUGAGAAACCAUAUUUAAAAUUGAUAUGGAGAUUAUUUAGGUGGUUGGAAUCUGCUCCUCUGGAGAGACCUCAUGAAAAUGGAGGAAAAUACCUGUUUGUCUUUAUAUUUGAGACUUUUACAACUGAAUAAAGGCAACAUUAAGACUUUGAAAACUUUUAUAGUUGCCAAAACCAAAUUUUUGCCCUUGUCUCUGUUUCAAAGCAAAUAUGACCUUACAACAAGCACUGUUGUAUCCUCAGGAUAUUGUUUUCACGUAGACUGUAGAGCUCAAAAGCAAAUGAUCUAGAAAUGGAAAAUGUGGUAUAUUUGGCAGACUUUGGGGGAAUUUAUUUUUUUUAAGGUGCAGAUAGUUGGUUUUGGUCUAACUGAUAGUGAAAUGAGAGCAUGAUUAAGGUCAAGAAUGAGUCACUUUGAGCAAUUCUUAGUUUGCAACCCUCUGCUCAGAUCAGAAGUUGAUGUUCUCUUUUAUCAUUAAACCUUUCCCUCACAACUCUUUGCUCAUUUUGGAGCCACUAUGUCAUGGAGAAUUCAUUCAUGUUGUUAUUCCUGCGGGAUUGUUCCACUUCUCUCUUGCUACUGUUUGCAGGCUUUCGUGCUCCCGACUUACUUUAAACAUCUCUUAAGUUUUAGAGCUCUGGCUGUGUUUGUGAAGCUCUGGGACAGACAGACUGACCCUCACUUCUUGUUUAUGUUUUCACUUUAACCUUUCAAGAUCUUUGCUUGGGAAGAGAGCAAAGAGGGUGAAAAGAUCUCUCUGCCUGUUUGCUGGGCAGUGUUUUGUGAGAAGUUUUGUUUGAUGGAGGUUUUGUUCAUGUUUGACAGUCUGAGAGAAGAGCUGGCUGUGUCAAUAUGCAGGUAGAGCAGAAGCACUUGUGGAUGACCACAGUGUUGCAAUACUGAAUGGAAGGUGGGUUCUGUGGUACAAUAAGGAGUGAAAAACAUGUGCUGUGAGUGGAAAAGGGGAUCUAAUACUACAUAAAUGGAGUAGAGGAGAUAACUGCACAGACAAAUGCCUGGUCCUUCAUAAAGAAGAUGAAAGGACAAAGUGUUCAGCAGUGAGUGUGGGGAGGAGUGUGAGGGGGGUGAAGAGUGCUGCAGUGUGAAGUCUGCCUCACCUGGAGCCCUGUGCCCCCUCUACCCUCAGCAUUAGCAGGUAAACUCAUGCAUAUUCAUAUCAAUAGAAAUAAUAACAAUAAUGAAAAUUGGUAGCAAAAUCAAAUUAAUGUGGUCUCCUGCAGCAGAAAUAUUUACCCGAUGUGUCCUGCCAGUUACAGAGAUUGGCAUUAAACCUAGACAUUACCUCAUCUUCCUGGGCAGACAGCCUAUUUCUAUGCUAAGCAAGUCUGCAGGAGUGAACAACUGAAUACCUGCCUGAUUAGCUGUGCAGCAGCAGAUCCUGGUUAGAAGUGAUUUCCCUCAGUGCUUUCUCUCCCUUUUGCUCGCACGCUUACUCUCUGCAAGGUUUGUCAUCGUGCCUUAUCAAGCGAUGUUCUUCAUCUUGAAGGGCACGUUGCAGGGGAGAUUGGCCAGACAGGUGGGCUAGUAUAAAUGCUGAACCAAAUCAGAAAGGUCAAGAAAAACACAAGGAAAAAAGUGUGUGUAUGUAUGUGUAUCUGCCUCCCUGUCUCUGCAUGAGUCGGUGCCAGCUAGGUGAAACUGGAUUAAUGAGGAAGGGAGAGAUAAGUGCUAAGAGGAUUGUGCUAUAAAAGGAGAUUUUGGGGUUUUGAGAACAGAUGAGGGUUUCUUUAUGAAAACUUUAAUUGGCUACCUUAGAUAAUUUCUUUAGCUUUGUUCCUGGGUGGUAAAUCAUAAGUUUCCUGCUGGGUGUAAAAUCAUAGCAUAAUUAUGAUAGUUGGCCUGUGCAGAGUGUCUUCUAUCACAGACUCCCAGCAUGCUGUAUAUUCCUUAAAAAAUUAAGCCUCAUAAUGUAUUUCAGACAAGUAGUCUGACAAGUAGUAAUAAAAAUAGUAAUAGGAAAAAAAACAAAGUGGAGGAAAAAAAACCUCUAGCAAAAACAACAGUUGCUUUUGUUGCAACACCUUUAAAAGCGCAUCAUACUUUUGCAUCCACCUGCUUGGCUACUGCUACUCUUUUUUCCAUAGAAAGGUUCAAGGACUCCAGGAUACAGUAUCACUGUUACUGACUUGUCAAAGUCCUGACAGUAAUGCUUUUGUGAAUUCAAGAGCUGCAGAUGUCCAUAGGUCACUCUCCCUUGGUGUUGGCAUGCCAGUAUUUUCCCAUGUAUACAUGUAUUUCCAUUUUAAACCUGCUGGACACCCCACUACCUUUGUGCUUUUUCUUGACUUGCUCCAUUGCUUGUAUUAUCAAGAAAAUAUGCAGCAAAGUCACAGUGAAAUGAAGCCUCUUGUUCUUCUGGUUUGACGUUCAUAAAUCUGAAGUCAUUCCACACAAGCGUAGUAUUUAUACGGUAGAUUUCCUGUUUGUUUUGAUGUAGUUUUAAAUGUCAGUCUGCUCAGCUGUUGAAAAUUAUGAGGAACUUAUCUAAUGGAGAAACAGUUUGGGCUGAUUGGCCUCUUUCACUUUCUUCUGUCCUGCCAAGACAGAUGUGGCUUCUACUGGAGCUGCUCUACUGGAUGGCCAAUUCUGGAAGUAGCUUUUCUCCUCACAUUUACUGGUCCUAAUUCUGAGAAAGUAUGCCAAAACAUGCAUCACUCUCCUGGAAAUGGCGUGGAGACUGGAGAUGUACAGUCCAGGACUGUAUGACCCAUAUAAUGGCUAAGUUAUUUUUCAGGAGGGACAUUUUCUGUUGGUAAACAGCAGCAAGUUGCUGUGUCCUGAGUGUUUAAAGGAGGAGAAAAACCUUUUAAA